ACUGAAAUAAUACUUAUCUUGCAGCCGAUCGGGUGAGGCAGAUUGUGUGAGUGUUAGAUGUCAGUAUCUUCUUCUGCUCGAGUAUUUUCUGGGUUGCUGUUUGUCUGAAACAUCACUAAGACCUCACUGUACAUGUGCUUACUUGCAUGAAGAAGAGCGUUGCUGCUGUUGGUUUCUGUUUCUUUCUCUUGUGGUGUAACCUGUGUAUGUCGUUGGUGCCUCAAACUGGCUUGCUGUACAGUUAAGUUAACCUGCAUUAAUUUGAACGCCAAACCGCGCACGUUGUGGCUGUUUGUGGUGCUCACUUCGUGAAAAACAUAGGAAUAGAAAAAGCAGAGGAAUUGACAUGACAUGCAUCUGAAUUCCUACGAAGAUUGAAAACAUAGGAUUGUGAUAGAAAAACCAUUUGAAACACAGGAACAUGGAACAUGAUAGUAGGAAUCAGCAACAUCCUAUGAAAUAAAAAUGACUAUACACAAAUAUAAUCAGUUAUAUGGAUACGGUGCCAUUAAUUAGUUAACUAACAACGAGCAAAACGAUCCAUACCAUCCACCGGCUGGCCCCCAAACUAAAUCCAUCAAUUUCAUCGGGAGGGAGCUCAUGUGCUAGACUUAGAUGAGCUGGUGUUGGAUAGCAUCAGUUGCUUCGUGAGACUGAGCCGGCGUUGUAUGGAAUUAUGGAUGUAGCCUGUAGGUUCGUGCGAGCAAAAAAUGAGGUCCCAGUGGAGUUUUCCUUUCUUGUGAAAUCAUAGCGUAGCUACAGUGUUUCAUAGGAAUGGCAAUUUCCUUUCCUUUGUCCCAAACGGCCCAAUUUUUAUUUCCCCUGUGAAAUCUCUUUCCUGCAGAAAUCCUGUAGGAUUCCUUUGUUCCAAACGGCACCUGAAUCUUAUCCGGUCACUCGGUCUCCACUGUCUCUCCUUUCCCCGAGCGUCCUACUCCGCCCUACUUCCUCUCACAGUCUCACCUGCCGCUCCCGCUCACCCUGUGCCCCUGCUGAGACGAGCGCCUAGAUCUUUAGCGUGAGCGGCGGGGGAGGCCGGUCCGCUCAUCGGCGUGCCCUCCCGAGAGCUCGAGCGCCACCGGCUGGUCCUCUCUUUGACCGCAACACGGAGACGCUGGUGCCCCCUCCUUCCUUCUCUCUCCACCCCUGCCGCUAAGAGUUCGAGCGCCGCUGGCAUGGUCUGCUCAUCGGCGUGGUCGCCGUGGAAUCAGCAGGGAGCAGCACGGCCCUGCCUUCACCGGCGUGGGGGUGACCCUCAAAGCGGCGGCGGCGGCGGCGAUGGCAUCCAUGGCUGCCAGCGAGGGCACCUUUCUCCGUCUCAACAACCUCGACGCCAACGAUGACAAGGCUCCUUGUAGUCCAUAAAAUGAUUAUGGGUUAAAACAAGUAUUCUCAAGCGAUGUCUCUGCUGGAUACUUGUAGUCUCAGACGACCUCGAUCGAUGCCCUAAAAAUCCCCAAACCUGUUUUAGUGCAAAUUUGCACUGUUGUUGUUUUCUUUAGUUUCUUUACUUGUCCGGCUGCUUGUGGGGCUAUCUGGUGAUUGGGCCCUGCUUGUCAGUUUCUAUACGCUAGGUUCUGUUGUGUAUGCUGGGUCGUCAGUGGCGUCGGUUUGCUGGAGGCGUGUUGCUGUUUAAUGCUUUGGUUCUAUCUCUUCCUCUCUCUGCGCUCAUUUGUUCUCAUCCGGUUGGAUUCUCAUUGGUUGCUCCGCCUCUCGCUCCUGUUGAUCGAGUUUCUGUUUGCCGGUGCUGCUGAUAGCUCUGGUCGCUUCUUCCGCUGCGAUGGCGGGUGUGGGAUUCAGAUUCAGAUUCAGAGGAUCGUGUGUUUCAUGAAGACUAGAUGGAAACGAUUGAAAGCGCCAUUGAUUCUGUGUAUUCAUUGGCAAUUGACCAUUUCAAGAAAUAUGAUGGCCGUGUUAUUCACGACGACAGUUUCAAUGACCUACUGCACACACGCAGAGAGCUGAAGGCAAGUCAGUUUUGGAGCGAUAUGCUGGAACAGUCCCGUGACUCACUGCGUACCUCACUAGACAAGCAAGUAGCAUCGCAAGAUCGACUCAAAGCAGAUCUUGUAUCCCUUUGUCGCGCUCAUGGAGAUAUUCUAUCUGUUAGAGUGUCUCUGCCUGACAGUCCAACCACUACGAUUCAGUAUACAGGAUCACAGGUCCCUGCAUCUGGCCUGGAGAAACUCUCCUCGGAGUUGGUUGCCAUUGUCAAGAAGAUGUAUGUGGCCACAUAAAUAUCAUGUGACAUACUCUGAAAUCACCACUUCUUUAGAUUAUCUGCUUUUCGAUGAAAUGUCUAUGUACUGUCGGUUGCUCCAUGCCUUGAUGUAAAUAUGAUGUAACAUAUUCCUAGAUCACAGCUUCUUUAGACUUGUUUCUUUUGCCUGUCAUAUAUAUCUUCUGCCAAUAACCUGAUGCUGAGGAGCAGAAUCAGCAGCAACAACAGAGGCAGGAUCAGUCAGGAGCUAACAAUCAGCACCAAGGAAACAGACACAAUAAACAGAGGAUCAAUGAGGAGGAGCCUACUCAACCUAUGGAUCCUAAAUACAAAGAGUUGAUUUGCUUUAAUUGUGGAGGACCAGGACAUUAUGUGGGAAACUGUGUUAAACCAAAGCUCUGCUUUAUUUGUAGCAUACCUGGCCAUCAUAUGGACAAUUGCCCAGCUUGGGGGAGAGAAAUUCUUAUGGUACAGUUUGUUGAAAGUGCUAAUGGAGGGUUAGGAUUUUUUUCACAUCAAUGUAGAUGAUAAAGCUUCUACAAAAUGGCUAAAUAUGGGCAACUAUGGAGUCAUAGCUGUCACUCAUGGGAACAUAUCUGUCAAGGACCUAGAGGAGUGUAUGGCAAUCACUUGGGAUGCCUCCUGGCCUUAGCAGGUUAGACAAUUGGAGGAGAAAAGUUUUUUGGUAAGAUUCCCUCCUACCAAAAAGGUGACUGACCUGGUAGGACUGCCCUCAAUCAACUUAAGGGAGGGGGGGUGAGAAUGAAAGAGUUACUAUCAAAAUUCUGCCCUGGGAUGGAGAUCUCCCAGAACUGGGUGAACUAACAGAAAUCUGGCUACAGAUCAAUGGAAUCCCACCUAAAUGGUGCACCUGGAAAGUUAUUACACAAGUGUCUAAAUGUUUUGGUCUGCUUCUGGAUGUAGACUGGAAUGAAAUCUUCAAAUCUAUGUAUGCUACAGUUAGGGUUAAAUUGGCUGUGAGAAACCCUGAUAAAAUUCCACCUGCAAGAAUGGUUGUAAUGAAGAAGAAGUUUUAUCUGUUACAGUUUACUGUAGAAUGGGAAGGAGUGGACAUUGACAGAGUGAUGGGUCUGGAAGAUAAAGAUUAAAAUGGAGAUGAUGAUUAUGAAGAUGACAACAUUAUGGAUGAUGAAAUACAAGACUUGGAGAAAAAUAGAGACACUCUGAUGAAGAACCAGGAGAAAUCUGAUCCUAAGGGCACAAAAAUUGUUAAUGGAGGUUCCAAAUCGGCACCUCCAAAAACAAAUUAUUCCCAGGUCACUCAAGCACUCAUUAAUGCUAGCCUGGUUGAAUCAGAAGAUGAGGAAGAGAGUGGUGAUUGUAAUUCAGAUAAUCCUCGGCAUGAACCAUUACACAUAGAAGUUGAUGAUCAGAUGAAGGCACCUCAAAAUCUGGAAGAAGAUUCUGAAAUCUUGUUAGUUACAACCUCUCAGAUACCUGCAGAAGUAAUCCUCACUCAUGAGACACAGGAGAGUUUCCCAACACCAGCAGAAGCUAAGGAAAAGAAUAGGAAGAAGAACAAAUGGGGCCCAGUAGGUCCCACACCUGAUAUUGUCAAUAAACAAAUUAAUAGAAUAAAACAACUUGAAUACAGUAGGUUACAGGCUUUAGCUGAAGAACAACCUGACAUUUUCCUUCCUGCUAGUAUUGAUCCUACAUUAGAGAAUUUCUCAGCACCUAAUUUUACUGAUGAAAAUGUUGAUUGCUUUAACUAUGAUUCCCCUCUUAGUGAUAUUGGACAUGAUAAUGAACAGGAUGACAUUAUCCAUGUUUCAUAUAAACUUAGGAAAGAUAGGAGCUUUAAAUCUAAACAUAAAAAGGAUUAUGAUGCAGUACAUUAUUUGGAACGUUAGGGGCCUUAAUGACCCCAAGAAAGUUAAAAGGGUUUCUGAACUCCUUAGAGUUCAUCAUCUUGAUGUGAUUGCUUUGUCAGAAACCAAGAAAGUGGACUUUAGUUCAUCUUGCUUGGAGGCUUUAGCCAAUUUUAGAGAUUUUGCUUGGAAACACCUGCCAGCUGUUGGUACAGCAGGAGGGAUCCUUUUAAGGAUUAAUUUAGAUAUAUUUGAUGUUAUUAGAUGGGAUAUAGGUAACUUCUUUGUUUCCUGUGAAAUCAAAAACAAAAAUGAUGGUUUUGCUUGGAAAUUUGUGGCUAUAUAUGGCCCUGCAUAUGAUGAGCUGAAACAACAGUUCAUUGAUGAACUAACCUCACUUUGUAGCUCUUGUUCUCUGCCCAUCUUAGUGGGAGGGGAUUUCAAUUUAAUCAGACAAGCUUAGGAUAAAUCAUCUGGUAACAUAAACCAAACAUGGACAGAUAAAUCAAUAAUUGGAUUAAUUCUGCUGCCCUAAUGGAAUUGAAACCUACCAGUAGACAAUUUACUUGGUCAAAUAAUCAAGACAGCCCUGUGAUGGCAGCAAUUGAAGCGAUCCUCCCCCUUACAGGGUUCGAUCUCUGUGCUUACUGUGCUAGUCCCUGGAUCGACUCAGUAGCACACACAGUUUCAUGAUGAAAUAUACAGAAACAAAGGUCAAAAGUACUUUAUUACAUCGCAUCAUUCAGAAUUUAAAUAGUACUUACAACCUCGCAUGACCUCUUGGGUCAGCAUAAAACAAAGACUGUUUCAAUAUAAAAAAACAAUGUUUCUAAACUACUGCAGCGGAAAAGGGUAGAACAAUAAGGGCCACAACUACUCCAAGGUGAGAGCAUGUUGGAAUGUAAGCACAUGACCCAUGACAAAACGACGAACUUCACUCAUCGUCGGAUCCACCUGCAUUGUUAAUUGCAGCCACUACGUGGUCAAUACAUUUGAAUGUAUUGGCAAGUUCACCAGAGUUAUAAAAGACCUACCAAGUACAUGCAUAAUUUGGCUAGGUGGGGUUUGGCUGUUUGCAUAAAAGCAUCAUGGUUAAAUCCUAUCAUUUUUAAACAAAUAGUUUUGAAUUCUAUUGGACACGGGGUAGAAACACCCAUGCUCCUAUUAACCUAGGCACAUUGAGUAGAAACAUCAAUGCUCCUACCCAGUUCAAACCAUUCAUUUUAUUAGGAAAUUGGAAUGAGUGAGACCUUCCUUACAGCCUCAAUAUCUAGUUGCUCAUAAUUGUCCGUAACCGGGGACACGGCUAAGUACUUAGUUUGACACUCUCGAGAGGUGGUACACUUUACCCAUAAGAAAUCGACGUGUUAAUCCCUUGCUGUCCUCCAGGUGGAGUAGCAACGGCAUCGAUUACAGGAAUUUCAGAACAUAUUCCCCCAAACCACCUGAGGGACGCGUUCCAACCUACACUGCUACAUACCGAUGUCACCUCGGAUCCAGGUUCAUAUUUCUUACGUCCAUCCUGGCAGAGCCCAUAAUACCAUGUGGUUGUACUGGAAGCUGCUAAACAGGAAACUAGUCCAGUCUCUGGUUACCCCGGGUGGCAUUCCUCAGUUGUAACGCAGGCGCUCCCAUAGAAAUGGCGAGAUGACUCAUAGAAAUGGAUCCAUAGAAAUGGACCUGACGUCGCAUACAUCUCCACUUCCUCAAAGCAGCCCACACAGGACGGUUCAUUGAAUUACUUGUUUUGCCGUACACUAGGAAAACCAUAUUGUAAUUCAAUAGUAUCACAUUGUAAUAAUACCGCCCUCGUUUAUUAUCAUAGCAUAGUAUUUUACUACUACGAUAGCAAUUGGUGGUAAGGACAAGGCAGGGGUGUCCUAUACUACUAGGAGGAAUCAUAGCUAGCAUAGCAUAGAUACAAUAAUAGUCCUGACAAUGCAACUAAUAAAAUCUAGUGCAUAAUAAAGUAAUAGGUGAAUGAUGAAAGUGAACUUGCCUUGAUAGUAGUUGGUAUUCAGACACUCUUCACAGUACACAGUUCGCUCUCCGAGAAAACUAAACAAUACAAACAAUGCAUACAUAAACACACCAUACAAACAAAAGAAUAUGCAUGCCAUGAUGCAAUGCAAAACAUGUGACAAGAGCUUGGUUUAUUUUAUUUGGGUGAUCUACUGAUCCUAAGCAUAAGUAAUUAAAACAAAUGCAUUAGGGUUUUAAAUAGAAAGGAAAAGGUUAGGGUUUAAACCCUAAAAUAAGGUUUUAUUUGCAUCAGCCAAAUAAAUUAAUUCAACAUAUUUAUUUAUGUGUCCCAUUGGACAGAGGAUAAUAAAAUGAAAUUUUGGGCACUGGUUUCAAUCAAAAAGGACUUCUAAAUAAUUAGUUAUGAUUUAAAUGGCAUUAAACCUUAUUCUGUAAUUUGAAUGUGAUUCAAAUAUUCAAAAUUGAAAUUGGACAGUGCCAAAAGAUUCUACACUUCCUAAGGAUUCCAAAAAGGUGUGGAUCAUCAAAUUUGGCCAAACAGAUUAAAAGAUAUGAUCAUUUGAAGUUACAGAGGCUUUUUUGCAAAAGUGCCAUUUAAUUAUUCCGGGGGAUUAAAAUUAGAUUUUUAUUUUUAUUUUACCGUGCCAUGUGGCGGCUCCUGAUUGGUGCGUACCGGUUCGUUUAAGUGAAAUAAAAAGGAUCUAAUCUGGGCCGUUGAGGACGGAUGGACGGACGAGAUCUCACCUCCGGGAACCUAGGGUUCCGGCGAGCUUCUCCGGCGGCGGCGCGGCACGGGCGGGUGGUUCCGGCGAGGCUGGCACGACGGGGAGGUCAUGGGGAGGAGCGGCACGGCACGGGGAACACGGUGACGCGGUCGGCGCGGGGUCGGGCGGUCGGAGUCCUCGCCUAGGUCGAAGACGAGGUGGCGGCGCGGGCGGAACUCCGACGACGGGCGGCGGAGCUUCGAGCUCGGGCAUCGGGGCGCUGCAGUGGACCAAAAACGAGGGGAUUCACGUCAAAAGAUGCGCGAGAGCGAGAGGGAGGAGAUAGGGUAGGUGGGGGUGGCUCUCGACCUUUAGGUUGCCGGUGACGAGCUCGAGACGGCGGCGGACUCCGACGAGGCUUCGGCGAGAAAUUGCAGCGGCGUGGUCGCGCGAUUGACUGGGGAAGCAAGGGGGAAGAAGAGAGGGGGUCGCGGGGUUUAAAUGGACGCGCUCGGGGCUGCAAAAGGAAGGACGGGAGAGGAGAUUGCGGCGGUGAGCGCGCGGCGGCGAAAACGGCAGGCGGCGCAGCGGACGCGGGCGCCUUCCAAACAAGGAAGACGACCCUGACAGGCGGGCCCCGCCUGUCAGCGGCUCGGUGCGACGUGCGCGAUUUCCGGGCCGGUCGGCUUGGCUCAGGCCAUUUUGAUUUAGCCCGUUCGGCCCAUUUUGGCCGGCCGGUCCGGUUUCCUCUUUUUUUUUCUUUUAGCCCUUUUCUUUUUCUGUUUUUCUUAUUUCUUUGAUAUCUUUUGAUUUUGAACUCCUAAUUGUCCCAAGGAAAUUCCAGAAAAUUUGUAAAAUCAUGUUUUACCAUGAUUCAACUUUUGGGAGUAAUUUCCCCUCAAAAUAAAAUAUAUAAAAAUACAUUUGCCCUAUAAAUGCCUUUAGGGCUAUAUAUCUAUUUAAAUAAAAUACUUUUUCAACUUCAAAUAAUUAUCCAAAAAUUAUGGGAUAGCUUAUAUAUGCAUUAAACCCCUUUUAUACAUAAAACCUAUUGGUUUGAAGAUCCAAGCUCAAAUGGGUGUAAACCCUAAGGUUUAAAUUGAAAUAAAAACUUUUAAAGCCUUUUGAGAUUCAAAUUUGAAUUCAAACAUGCAAUUGUGGCAUGAUGCUUAUGGAUGCAAUGCAUAUGAAAGGUUUUGAAUUUUUGGGAUGUUACGGCAAUUGAUAGAGUUUUUGUCUCCACUUGUUGGGAAUCACAUUUCCCUGGUGCUUUGUUAUCUGCUUUAGCAAGAGUGGCAAGUGACCAUACCCCUUUAUAUUUAGAUUGUGGAGGAAUUACUCUCCCUGUUAGGAAAAUCUUUAGAUUUGAAAAAUGGUGGCUGGAGAUAGAUGAUUGUAAGGAGGCAAUUAUACAGACCUGGAAUUUGGCCUGUCCUUGCCAUACUGCCAUAUAUGGCAAUUUAAGAUAAGAAGGCUCAGAAAAUUGCUGAGAGGCUGGGGAAUAAACAUUGAAGCAGCCCAGAAAAAACUUAAAAAAAACUUAGUGGCAGAAUAUGAAUGUUUAGAUAUCAUGGCUGAAUCUCAACCUCUCUUGCCAUAGGAAAAAGCUAGGAUGAAGACCAUUAGGUCUGAAUUGCAAAAAAUUUGGACAAUGGAGGAGACUAAAGCUAGACAAAGAGCUAGAGAAAGAGACAUACUGGAAGGUGUUAAAAAUACAGCAUACUUCCAUGCUUUAGCUAACGAAAGAAGGAGAAAAAAGAAAAUCACCUCUCUAGAAGAUCCAGAUGGUUUGGUUCAUGAUACUCCACACAUGCUGGAGAUAGCUGUAAACUUUUACAAAGUCCUCUUUGGACAUGAAGAUAGGAUUAAUAUUUCAUUAGAUGAUAAUUUCUGGGAUCCUGAAGACCUUGUAACAGAGACUGAAAAUGAGUUCCUUGACCAGCCUUUUUGCUAAAGAAGAAAUCAAGGGAGCAGUGUUCUCCUCAUAUGUUGAGGGGGCACCAGGGCCUGAUGGUUUUCCUUUCCUUUUCUAUCGGAAAUUUUGGGAAACAAUCAAGACCGAUCUUUUAAAACUCUUCAAAGACUUUGACAAUAACAGGGCUGACCUGUUUAGACUAAAUUUUGCUAUGCUGACCCUAAUCCCUAAGGAACCUGAUGCUACUUCACUUAAGAAGUUUCGGCCCAUUGCUUUAACAAACUGUAGUUUGAAAAUCUUUGCAAAAGCCUGCACCUUGAGGCUGGGAAGUUGUGCUGACCGUCUGAUAUCCAUCAACCAGACAGCCUUCAUUAAAGGCAGAUAUAUUUUAGACAGUGUAGUUACUGCCCAUGAGAUAAUACAUGACAUACAUCAUAAAAAGGAGGGAGGAAUUUUAUUGAAACUUGACUAUGAAAAAGCAUAUGAUGUAUUGGAAUUUUUUGGAACAAAUGUUAACACAAAGGGGUUUUAGCCCCAGCUGGAGGAGGAAGAUUGCAACACUGAUUCAUGGGGGAUCAGUGGGAGUCAGGAUCAAUGAUUCUGAAAGUGAUUACUUUGUGACUGGUAAGGGUCUUAGACAGGGAGACCCUCUUUCCCCAAUCCUUUUCAAUCUAGUAGCAGAUGUGUUUACUAGGAUGCUGUUUAAAGCAGGACACAGAAAUCUUAUAUCAGCGUUGUUGCCAGACUUCUGCCCAGGGGGAAUCCUUAGUCUCCAAUAUGUAGACGACACACUAAUUUUUCUGAAAAAUGAUGUUAAUAUGGUCCAGAACUUGAAAUGGAUACUUACUCUUUAUGAACAGCUGUCAGGAAUGAAAAUUAACUAUCACAAAUCUGAUCUGAUACCAAUGAAUUUAGAAGAAGAAGAGACUAAUAUCUUGGCUCAAAUACUAGGAUGUAAGAAGGGCUCUUUGCCUAUUACUUAUCUAGGUGUUCCUUUGCACCACAGUAAGCUUAGGAAAGAAGACCUUCAACCUGUAAUUGAUAAGGUAAUAAAAAGGGUUGCUGGAUGGAGGGGAAGACUACUCUCCUAUGGGGGAAGAAUUGUGCUCAUUAGAGCCUGUCUUGCUAGUAUUCCCAUCUACUUACUCUCCUUUAUCAAAUUCCCUAACUGGGCUAUUCAGGCUAUUAAUACACAAAUGGCUCAUUGUCUGUGGGAUAAUUAUGAUGGACACCAUAAGUAUCAUUUAGCCAAUUGGGACAUGAUGUCUAUGAAAAAAGAAUUUGGGGGCUUAGGUAUUCCAAACUUAAAAGACUUGAAUGUUACUCUACUUGCUUCCUGGAUACACAGAUACAAUCUAGACUCUAAUAGACUUUGGAAGCAGAUAGGGGAAUUUAAAUAUGAUAGUUCAAACCCCAACAUCUUUGCUUGUGAUGAAAGAGAAGGAUCUACCUUCUGGAAAGGAAUCUUAUGGGCUAGUAGAGCUGCCAAGCUGUGAUACCAGUGGCUGGUAGGAGAUGGAAAAUCUAUAAGAUUUUGGGAAGACCAGUGGUUUGGAGGCUCUAGUUUAGCUAUACAAUUCUGGGACCUGUAUACUAUCUGUAAUGAACAAAUGGCCACUUUGGCUGAAGUGUGGGAUGGGGGAGAAAUCAAACUCUCUUUUAGGAGGAGCUUUGGCCCCAGACUCUUAGAACAGUGGGAUACUAUCUCACAGAUUGUCACUGCUGUAGUUUUUAGCACAGAGAAGGAUCAAAUGAUUUGGAAGUUACAUUCCUCUAGGAUUUACACUUCACAAUCUCUGUAUGCUGUAGUUAACUGCAGGGGAAUUAUGCCUGUUUUUUUUCCUGCUUUAUGGCACAUUCAUGCCCCGCCUAGAGUACAUAUGUUCCUCUGGCUUGUAAGCUACAAUAAAAUCCUCACCCGAGACAAUUUAAGUAAGAGACAGGAAGUGCCUGACAAAACAUGUUUAUUCUGUAAUGAACCAGAAUCAGUCACUCAUUUAUUCUUUGAUUGUGUAGUAGCUCAACUGCUUUGGACUGAACUUGCUGAAAUUAUUCAGAAACCUCCCAUCUUAACGUAAGAAAAUCUAGCUACCUACUGGCUAUGCAACAAGAGGAUGGUGUAAUAAACAUGCUUACUACUGCUGUCUUAUGGACAAUUUGGAAAUUUAGAAAUGAUCUUUUGUUUGCCCAUCAUAUCUGGCUUAAUAUCCAGGUCCUGUGGAGGAGAUCACUGCGCUUAUUAAAGCGCUGGCAACCGCUAUGCCCAAGACGCGACACGUUGAUCUGGGACAAAUGCCUGUUACUGCUGGAGAACAAAGCACUGGAGGCUCCCCGGCUGCGCCGAGCAAGAAACGGCGUACCACAAUUGCAGGCCCUGGGACACCUUCUCUACCUGAACAGAAAGCGCUACUGAAGCUCUACUAAAAACGAGUGAAUACCAUUUUUGAAGAGCAGGAAAAGAGUCUGUGUUUGAUGUAAUUUUCGGUUAUCCGGCCUGUGUGCCAUGUUGGAAACUGCUGGUAGCAGAUAGCUGUUGUGUUGUUUUGGUUUUGUAACCAGGAGCUUAACUGUCACAACUGGGGGUUUCCUCUCGUUUUGAGGGGGAACCGGGCAAUAAAAUGCCUUUCAUCUAAAAAAAAUAACCUGAUGCUGAAGAUGUCACAUAUGUCCGUAAGUUUUUGAUGUUCUGUCAGAUAUGAUGUGUACAGUUUGUUUUUUCAGAUGUAAUAUGUCCCUCUGAGAACAUAUAAUAUAUAUGGUAUUCUGCUAUUACAAGUAGAAGUACAAUUUUUUAAUCACCGAAACUGAUAUGUGCUCUCUGUGCCCAUCGAUUUUCGGUCAAUCUAAUUUGCUGAUGAUACGGGUUUUUGUCUGGUUUUCCCUAAUUAACCGGGCGACUCUACUUCUUCUAUAACUAGAUAAUACCCCCGCACGUUGCUGCGGGAUAUUGUAGCGUUGUAUACAAAAGUACAUUGUAUAAUUUUAUAUAUAAUUCAUCCAAUUAUAUGUUUAUUUAUUGAGAAAGAUGAUUUGAGAUUUGCUACUUUUUGUAGUCAGGAAGGAUGAUUGUUACAUGUAUUUUGUUUCAUUUUGAUGUAUUGAAUUGUGAAAUAAAACCGACCAGAUGGAAGAAUUCAUGAGAUGUAUGGCUCCCUUCUUUUAAAGUUUUCAGUUGUUUCAUAGUAUCACCGAGUUUUUGGACUGUCUCAUUAUACAUAUGGCAAGCCUCCCUUUGUUGAUAAGUAGAAGGUGGUAGUAUAUACUCUACAUUCCUCAUUUGCAUGCUGGACAAAAAACCAUAUAUGAUCAAGAGAGUAGUGUAUGAAAAUGAGAAAGUUAUUAAUGAAGCUUAAUAUUUUCGAUGACUUUAUCCAUCUUCCGGCCGCUGCAGCCUGCAUCUCCUUGUUGUUGGCCUUCCACCGCCCUCCUCGACCCUGUACGAGCUCCCAUGCGAUUCCUGUAUCCGUCUCCUUUAUUGUUCCGCACGGGCUCAGAAAUUAGGAGAGGGCUUUGAGAGAGGAUGGUUAGGGGCACAAGAUGAUGCGAUCAUAAGUUGGUUUUAUAGACUGCGGAGGGAGAUCGAGAGGCGGAUGCCAACGAUCGGCAUUCGGGGCGCGGCAGAUGUAAAUGUGGAUUCAAGAGGGGAAACGGAUGAUGGAUUACCAGAAUCGGUUCGUAUGUCAAUGAAGAUUAAUUUGCCGGUGUUGGUUUUGCAAGAAAUGUUAAUUUGAUGGGAUCCUAGAAGGCUGCGAUGGUUCAUAUGCUGCACUGCGUGGGUUCUCGAAUUAAUGGAAGAGGAAGACGAUCGAUCGAUCGGGGGCUUCAGGCUGGGCUGGGCAGCACGGAGGCGAUGGGCCAGGGAGGGGUCGAGGUCAGUUGAUACGGAAUAGGGAAUUAAUCAAUCGGUUAAAAUCCUGAGGUGGCAUGCUGAGUUGGAUAGGCUGCAUGUUGAGAGAAAUGUUGGAAGACACACACGCGAGGAGGAAGAACUACAGAGCACAGAACACACGAAGAUUUGCGCUGCGAACUGAUUAGCAGCUUUUCCGUUUUCUCCUCCUUUUAUUUAGUCGGCCGGUAACUUCCCUGAAUCGACGAUCCUAAAAACCAGGCCACGCGAGCACAUUGCCAUGCCAUCCCAUGACGCCCUAUCGUGCCGGUCAUCGACGUCGCCGGCGUGAUCACUGUCACUGAAACCAAUCACCUCAGGCACCGCACCCCCCCCCCCCCCCCGCGCCAGCGACAUAGCGGAGGAUUUGCUUCACCGCUGCCCAUGCGGUGCUGCAGGCGCCUCUAGAAACCUGCUCACAAUCCCGACGGCAUAAGUGAUGUCAGGUCUCGUGUUGCAGAGGUAGCGGAUGGCUCCCCGGAUUCUCCCUUGCACAACUUCAGCCGGUUCUCCAUUGGCGUGUGGCAGGGGUUGCAGCCCUUCAUGCCGGCUGCUUCGAUGAUCUUCUCGGCAUAGGCACUCUGGCACAGGGUGAUGGCGCCAUUUGCCUGUACCACCUCAAUGCCCAGGUAGUAAGAUAGCAGCCCCAAAUCGCUCAUGUCAAAGAGGCACUGCAUUUCCUCCUUGAACGCUUUGAUGUCGUUCCCGUUCGUGCUGGUGAUGAUCAAAUCAUCGACGUAGACGCCGACAAGGAGAACGGACGUCCCCGAACUCCUCUUGUACACAGCAGGCUCGUGUGGACUCCGCUCAAAGCUGAGGGAUGCCAGUGUCGCACUAGUGGCACCCGGGGUACCACUGCUGCGCGACGCGUGGGCCCCGUCCCUGAGUUCCCGGGGAAAGUUCCAUCCCAGGCAGCGGCUACGAGCAGCCCGGCAAGCCACCGGCCCGAAAGGGCUAGCGGGGCUUCGGGGAAUAUUCCCGCCUGGGCACCUCCCGGGAAGCCGCUUCCCGGGGGAAGGUUCCCGGGUGCGUUGGGCCCGGGCGCUUCCCGGGGAGCGACUUGCCAGAACAGGUGAUUCCCGGGCGCAUGCCCCCACCUCAAGCAUGGGUUUCAGUAGGCAGAUCAACAGCGCCACGCGGGCGCGUGGCGGGCGUGGGGUGCGCGGCCCCACCGUGGAAAGGAGUAAGGCGCACGGCUCAUUAAAUGAGCCGACCGACGGGGCGUUACCCGCCCGAUCAAGUGAACAGUGGCUGUCCAAUCCUACUCUAGGGUUUUAGACCCCUAGCGGCGGAGGUGGCAUCCAUGCGCGCCACCAGCUCACCGGGGGGGGGGGGGGGAGUUGUAUGCUCCCCCGCUCGACACUUGUAGCCCAUGCAACGGUCAAAGGGGGGAAUCUAUGUUGGUUCCAGUAGAUGGUAGAAAGGGAGAGAGUACCCAGGAACUUACCCGGCGACCUGUAAACACUCGAUUCACUACCAAUAUCAGCUCAGACAAGCAGGACGUAGGGUUUUACACCUCCGGGUGGCCCGAACCUGGGUAAAAACGUGCGUGCAUGUGUUCUUUGAUUAGCGCGCACUUCUAGUACAUCAUUCCGCCGGCCCCGCAGUGCCCAUCGGCCGAGCCGGCGAUCGCCGGGGCGAAGCCCGACGCCCCUACCGAACCUAAAAGGGGGCCGUGACCGCACGCCCCCGGUGUCGGAGCACCGUGCGACGACAUCUGGUGCGCCAAGUAGGGGGCGCGGGAGAAGAGCCUGCCGGUGGUUGCCGGCAGCAUCGUUUGCAUCGACGUCGGCCUCGCCUUCUUCGCCGACGAGAAUAGUCAUCAAGCCCCCCAAGCGGGCUGGUGAUCCUCGUAUAGACCCGCGUGAAGCCCCAGCGGCGCGCACUCGGUUGCAUGACAUGCGACCCGAGUCGGGAGCUCAGGAGAACCCUGAGCCCUUGAGGGUACAGCAAACACAGCUGCCUCCCCCGCCUACUCGGUCAUCUGCCGACAAUCAGCCGAGGGGACCGGCUGCCCCCAGUGCCGGGGCCAGUCACGUGAGCGCACACGGUGCCGCCCGCGCCGGGCAGCGGGUUGAGUCGCGGGCCGAGGAUGCUCCGUGACAGCGGCAUCAGGAGCAUACCGCGUCGCGGGCGACCCCUGGGGGUUCGCACCCUGCGCACCCGAAGGCAUCCGGAGCCAGAGCGGGAAGCAGCCGCUCGGGAAACCGGCUUCCCCCCGCACGAACCCUGGCAGAAGCCAUCAUCGCCGCGCGUGUCAUGGUACGGUACGAACCGCAACAAGGCACGCCAGCGCACGAGAUGUGGGGCGACGAGUUAGAAGCGCUCCUCGCCCUGGCCGCCCAGCAGCCGCCCCCGGUAGGCUCCGGCCACGGGCAGAACCUGCAGCGCGGGGACGCGCCACCCGCCUCGUGACAGGGGGAGAAUCCUCCCCCUCCGCGGGGAGGCCAAGGAGAUGGGGGCCCGGAGGGGUCCUCGAACUCGUCGCCCACCGUUCCGGGGGGCGAUGUGCCCGGCAUCUUGAAUGACCGCCAGCAAGAGGAUUUGCGCCAGCGCUUGGAGCAUCGGCGCAGGCGCGAGGUAGAGCGCCAGCGCCCACAGGAGCAGGAAUAUGCUCCCAUGGGCCCUGAGGACGGUUGCACCACGUUCACACACGAGUUGCGGCGAGUGAUGUGGCCCCGUAAGUUCCGAGCGCCCGCGCUCGGUACAUACGACGGGACCGCCAACCCCAAGGAUUUUCUCCUGACCUACGUUGGGUAUGCACGCCAUCGGCGCCGACGACAAGGUCAGGGCCAACUUGUUCCCGAUGGUCCUGAAAGGAUCAGCGCGAACCUGGCUGCUCAACCUGCCCGCCGGGUCCAUCGCCACUUGGGCAUACCUGCGCGAGCAGUUCGUGAGCGCGUUCCAGGGCGGCUAUAAGCGCCCGGGAACCAUGGCAGAGCUGCACACUAUCGUCCAGAAGCCAGGAGAGACAUUGCGGACCUUCGUCAACCGCUUCUCCAACCUCUCCUAUUCCAUCCUAGAGGCGGAGGCGGCUGCCAUCAUCAACAGCUUCGCCAUCAACGUUCGUGAUCCCAAGAUGCACGAGAAGCUGAGCACGCAUCGGAUCCGGACGACGCAGGACCUGUACGCCCUGGCGCACAAAUGAGCCAUGGCCGAGGAAAGGCGCCUAGCGCCCGAGAUAGCAGCUAAGGCUGCCGCGAGCCCUGGCGAGGGUUCGCAGAAGAAGGGUUCCCGCAAGCGCAGCAGGAAGCAAGUUCUCGCUGCGGACUCGGGGGCUCCUGCCGUGAGGCCUGCGAAGAAGGCCUCGCCGGGUGGCGGAUCUGGCGGGAAGCAGGGGUACGCGCCCCGCUGCCCCAUCCACAACAACUCCACCCACGACGCGCAGAACUGCCGCGUUCUGCAGGGGAUCAAGCAGCGGCGGGAGCAGCGCCAUUAGGAGCGCCGCGCCGCCGGCGCCGGUUUCAACUGUUGCGACAUCGGGCAUCUCUCCCGAGACUGCUCGAACGACCUCAGGGCGGGGCCAAGGCCUGCCGGCGGCAGUGCCGGCAGGGAUGAACCCCAAGGGGGGCGCGGUCAGCCCCGUGCUGGGCGGGAGCGCCCACCCCAGGGACGUGACAGGGCACGCGCUGAGGAGCAGCGCGAGUCCGACUGUACUAGCGGCGACGAGCCGGGCUUCCAGGAGCCUCACGGCGUCGCCUGCAUCCAUGGGGGAGCAUAUGCUCUCCCAUCCCACGCCGCGGUAAAGCGCCUUACCCGCGACGUGCGCGCGCUGUUGCCGGAUGCGGAGCCGCAACAGCCGCUGAGGUGGUCGCACGUGCCCAUCACCUUCAGCGCCAACGAUCACCCAGCACGGCAGUUGGGUUCAGGGGUAAUACCCUUCGUCGUCUUGCCGAUCAUUAGCAAUAUGACGGCGACCAAGGUGCUGGUGGACAACGGGGCGGGGCUUAACCUCCUGUCCGCCAGGCUGGUGGAAAAACUCCAGUUGCCGGUGGAGCAGCUGAAAUCCACCGACCUGUUUCGGGGGGUGAACCCCAGGAUCGUGCGCCCGCUUGGACGCAUCACGCUGUCGGUCACCUUCGGGUCCCGGGAAGCGUUCAGGAUCGAACACAUAGUGUUUGACGUGGCACAUACCCCGUUGCCCCUACAACGGGAUCCUUGGUCGGCCAACGCUGAUCAAGUUCAUGGCGGCCACGCAUGGCGCCUUGGGCGUGAUGAAAAUGCCGUCCGUCUAUGGAGUCCUCUCCAUCAGUUGCGACCUCAAGGACGCAGCCUGGUGCGUUGGCGAAGUCGUCCGGGCCGCUGCCGCAGCUGACGCCGGCGACGAGGAUGCUGCCGGAGACGACAGCUUGUUGGGCGAUGCCUCGGCAACGAAGAAGGCCCGCGCUACCCCGCAAGAGCUUGCCGGGGGAGGCGUAGGCUCGAGCUCGCGCCCCGGCAAGGGGCAGGGGCUCCGGGAGGUGGUCGCCAAGGUGAAGAAGCUGCCCCUCCAAGCCGGCGACAAGGAGCGCACCGUUACCGUCGGUGUGAACCUUACUGCCGAAUAGGAAAGCGCCAUUAUCACCUUCCUCCGGGAUAAUGCCGACGGAGGGGCGGAGGUGGUGCUUCCCGCCGGCGCUAGGCGCCGGCGGGUGCGCUGCCAUCGCGCCCCUGCUGCAUCACCCCAUCGAGCCCACCCCGAGGGGCGGCACAGAGGCACGAUGGUAGUGUGUGCCAUCGGCGUCCUGCGCCGACGGGUACACUGCCGUGGUGCCCCUGCCCCGCUUCCUCAAGAUGGCGGCUCCUGGGCGAGGGUCACUGCAGAGGCACUGUGGUGGUGCAUCCCAUCAGCGUCCGGCGCCGACGGGGUGCAUUGCCACAGUGCCCUUGGCGCCCCCCUCCGUAGGACACCUCCGCAAGGAGCAGGGGCUGCCGCGGAGACUCUAUGGUAAUGCAUGCCAUCCGUGCCUUGUGCCGAUGGGUGCACUAUCAUAGAGAUUUUGCCGCAUUCCCUUUGAGAGAGCCUUUUUCGGGUGCGGGUCGUUGCGAGGACGCUGUGAUGGCGCCGGUGCUGUCGCUCGUCGCCCGUUCCGGCCCAUCACCGCGUCCCUGCCGCGGCCCUCGAGCAGUUUUGCUCCCGGGUAACAAGGGCCGUCGCCUCCCUUGGGACGAGUUCCCCAGAAAAAACCCAGGUCUCCCUAGUUGCGGGGGUUGUCGCUGGGAGGCUAUAACUUCCUCGCCACCCGUGCCCGCCGUUCGUGGUGGGGCGAAGCCGGCGGCGAGGACGUUAUAGCCGUAUCGCGGCUGCUCCCUGGGUGGAGUCCUCCUAAGCCAGGGUUCGUCCCGUAAAGCCAGGGUCCGCCCCUGAAGGUGAGGGUUGCCGCGUGAGCAUGGUGGUAGCAUCGUCGUUGGCGGUUGCCGCUGGCGGCGAUCCUACCCCCGCGCUCCUGCCGCAUCCCUCCGAGAUCGUUUCCCUUGAACAGGUACCCAAGAUGGUUUCCUACCGAGGCAGUGCCCCGUCUGCACUCUACUGCAGACCGUCGGGAGACAUUGGACCGAACGGAAAAGCUAAGUAUCUGAACAUGAACGCUGAAUUCGCUAAGAGCUGAACGAAACUGAGCACUGUCCCGCUGGGUGCGGCCCCGGAUCCCGCGCGUAGCCGGAGUGUUAAAAGGGACGCUUGCAGGAGGAGUGCGCUCCCCAUGUGGCUCCCGGGUCCGCCCCGGGAGGACACGGCUUGGAGUGGUUACCCCGCAAGCGGAGUGGCUCCCCGCUACCGCUUGGCCCCAGGUUGGCACCGCGGGACCGUCCCGGGUCCCUGGUCUGGUCAUGGGUGAGGCGUGCGCGAGUCCCCCGCAACGCAAGGCAAGAUACACAAAGGCUAAAAGGGGCCACUCCGCUGGACAGCAUCAGGAACAACGAACUUCUCGAAAAAGUUUACUUAACUAAGAGUUAACGCUGCUUUGCCGAAGUGUGGUCCCGGAACCUGCGCGUGGCCAGGGUGUGAAGAGGAUGCUUGCGGGGGGAGUGCGCUCCCCGUUUAGCUCCCGGGUCCGCCUCGGGAGGACACGGCUUGGAGUGGUUACCCCGUAAGCGGAGUGACUUGCCGCCUACCGCUUGGCCCCAGGUCGGCACUGUGGGUUCGUCCCGGGUCCCUGGUCUGGUCAAGGAUGGAGCGCGUGAGUCCCCGGCAACACAAGGCCAAACACGCAAAGGCAAAGGGAACCACCCCGCGAGGCGGCCUCAGGAAUAAGGGAGAAAAAUUGAGCAAACUAACAAGCUUGAUUGACCAAGUGUCGAAUGGUUACAUGGACUAAUCAAAAGGUCAUUGUUCAAACGGUGCUAAGCGCCAUACUUGCAAGGAAAGCAAACAAGAAGAAGGUACAGUGGAAGCAACGAGUAUAGCUGGGGGCUGCGGCAACUAGCUGUCGCCGUCUUCGGCCGGGGGGUCGAUGGGGGGAUCAGGCUCCGGCUUCAUCUGCAUCCGCUCGACGACCUCGUCGACGAACUCGCGCACUGCUUGGGUGUGCGUGGGCUCGUCCUCGCUGUCGGACCAAGCGUCCAGCAGGGACUUGAAGGGAAAUUCCGGGUCCCGGAGAUGAAUCCGCGGGAGGAUUGUCCCGGCAACCUCCCGAGCGCAGUUGGCGACUUCGUUGGCGCCAUACUUGGCGAUCCAGACAUCGAGCGCCCCGAGCUUCCCCACCAAGUCGGAGAAGAAGGGGAUCAGUGUCGUGACGUCCGUGCCGUCCACCUCCCCCGCCUGCAGCUCGAACUUGGGCAGCAGGUCGCGCAGCGACUGGGCGAUCUUUGCCAGCUUCUCCGUCUCGAGCUGCCGCUGCCCGAUCAGCGUGCCAUGAUGGAGUCGGGCAUCUUGCGUGGCCUUCUUGGCCUUGCUGACGCGGCCCUCCAGCUUCGCAAGCUCUAAGGCCUGGGUCGCAUUGGCCUUGCCGGCCUUGGCAAGCUCUUCCCGGACGGCGGCCAACUCGUCCUCCAGCCCGGCCGCUCUGCCUUUGGCGGAGGUGAGCUCGGCCUCGUGCUGAGCCGCCGCUCUCGCCGCAUCCUCGGCAGCCUUGACCUGCACCUCCAGCAGGACGCGGAGGCCUUGGAUUUCUCCGCGGUAGUUGGCGAUCAGCUCGCUCUUCUCGUCCAGCCACGCCUGGGCCAUCGCGAGCACCUCGGUAUGCUCCUUCCGGAACGCUUCGAGAGUAGCUGCCAUCGUGUCGAGCCUUCCCUGGAGCUCCGCGCGCUGGACCUUCAGUUGCCGACAGAGCUCGGCCUCCAGGACUACCGGCUCCCGUGCAGCCUCCUGGGCUUGUCGGGCCAGCCGCGCCUCCUCUUCGGCGAGGCGCGCCUCCUCGCGGAGCCGGGAGAGUUCGCGCCGCUCUCUCUCCACGGCGCCGAGUUGAUUCUUGGCGGCGGUGUGGCGCUCCCUCACCUCAUUGUAGGAGGUGACGAAGGCGAACUGCUGGUCCCGGACGGCGUCCAGGAACCAGUGCCCCCGCUCAAAGACACUUGGAUCCCACGUAAGGGGGUUCCAAGCGACCCCGGCGAGGGUGCCGAGGUCGGUGCCGGGGAGAGCCCCCGAGGAUGAAGAAGCCCCUGCUGCCGAAGUGGGACUGGACGCGGGGUCGCCAACUUGCUCCCGGGGGUCUUGCCGUCCUUUCCCAGCAACUUCCCCCGCGCCUGCGCUCGGGGACACCGGGGUUGGAGAGGGCUCCCCGCUCCCGGCAAGCGUUGCCUCCUGUUGGGCGACAGGUGAGCCCGUGCCUACCACGUCUCCAAGAGCCGUCACGGCACCAACGGCAUCCUCUGCUGCUGCAGCGUCCGUCGCAGCGGGGCCGGACGUGAGAGCUGGUUCCGCCUCCACCUCCGCCCCCGCGGCCUCGACGACCGAGUCGGGGUCGACCACGGCCGCACUUAUUUUGGGCGCGGGCGCACUUGUGCCUGCAACCAUGAAGAAGCAUGAGGGUCGGCGAUGGCUGGUGCUAUCGAAGGCAAACAAGGGCGACCGGGGCGGUUACCUUAUGCGGCCGUCGGGCUUGCCGGGGCAGCCUCCCCUACCUCGCCUGCGCCAGCGGGAGCGUCCAAGGGUCUUGCCGCGGGCGAGCUGCCGCUCGCUGCAGAAAGAGAAGAUAUGUUCGUGAGUUUGGCCAACAGGAAUUGCAGUUGCAGAGAAUCAACAAAGACAUACCCGGUGCUGGCCCUGUCUCCGUUGGGGCCGGGUCGCCAAGGGACGCGCCCGCGCCGCUGCUGGCCCCCGCGACAGCGGGAUCGGUGGCGCCGCCGGCAUCAGCGUGCGUCCUCUUGCUUGGCGUGCCGGGCGGUGAAUCGCUCCUCGCCCUCUUGCUGGCGCCCACCGGCGAGGAGGACUUCGGAGGGUUGCGCCGGAGCGCGAAGCCCCGAAAGACCCCCACGACCACGACUUCCGGGGACGCAGCCACCUGGCCCUCGACCUUCUCACGAUCAGGGGCACGCUGUCGCUGCUUUCGUCGUCGUCGUCCUCCACGGCGAUGACUUCCGGGGACGCAGCCACCUAGCCCGCCUCGUCGUCCAACGACCGGAAGGAGGGCCAGCUGGGCUCGGACCCGCCCUCGCUCUCCUCGAGCACCUGCUUCCCGCGGGGUGCUUGCGGGGGAGCGUGCGGGACCCGGGCGGGGGUGUCGUCCAUCAGCCCCCACUCGUUGCAGGGCGGGAAGGCGCCAACGAUGUCGCUGAGCGCCCUAACGCCGGCAUGGAGAGCGGAAACCCCCGGCGGGAACUCCGUCGACUGAAAGAUCUCACCGGAGAUCUCCCUCACCCACGUCCUGAGGGACUCCAAGUCCAUGCCGUCCGCCUGGAGGCGUGUCUUGUCCCCGGAGCCCGUGUACAUCCACGCGGGCCGGGAACGUAGCUGCAGCGGGGCUAUGCGCCGAUGGACGAAGGUGCGCGCCACGUCGACAUCGGUGAGCCCCGCUAGCCGCAACGCCUUGAUCUUCUCCUAUCGACCGGACGAUGAACUCGGACUUCAUCUGGUCGCGGGCGUGGAAGAUCACCCCUGACGACAUCGCCUUCGCGUUGUCGACGCGCGGGUAGAAGUAAUGGCAGAAGAGCCCCACCGACGGCAUCACCCCCACGAACGCCUCGCAGAGGAACUGGAAGGUGGCGAGUAGGAAGAGUGAGGUGGGGUGGAGCUGCGCCACCCGCAACUGAUAAGAUUCCAUCAGUGCGUGGAGGAACAGAGAGAAGGGCGGCACCAUGCCGCAGAGGAGGAAUCGCGCGAACACCCGGAAAUCGUUGUCCUGGUGCUCGACGCCCGCCGGGAAGAUCUGUUUCUCCCCGUGCUCGUUGAAGUUGGAGGCGACGGCGUGCCGGAGCUUCCCCAGCGCCUCGCCGUUGUAGCCGGGGUGGAAGAAGGCAACUGUGGCGCGCAUCUCCCGCCGCUUCUGGUCCCUGGUGGCGGCCGCUUUGAGUGCCGCCUCGGUCUUGCUAGUCGCGGGCUUCUUCGAAGUCUGGGCCUCCUUCCCCUUCCUGGUGGUGGGGGGCGCCAUGGAAAGCGAGGGCGGAAGCUGGCGGGAGCGCAGGGAUACGAGGUGCGGAAGAGGAUGGAGGCGAAAGGGCAAAGUGUUGUUCCCCUUUUGGCAACAGUAGAGGCUUUAUGACGCCCGACCGUUUGGUAACGGCCGGUUUCGUACCCUACGGGUGCGCGGGGAUAACUCCUAAUCACCGGGAGUAAUGCACGGAGUGGCCUUAACUACCCUAUUUAGGGGGGGGGGGGAGUUAGGGCGGAGAUCGCGCGUCCACUGCUCCGAUUGUAACGGCGCCGUACACGGGGCAGCGAAGGGACGCGGGCCCGCAUCUGAGCGGGGCCCACGCGUCGGUUAAGGGCGUAGCCCGGCAACCGACUGGGGGGAGACCCUUCCGGGAACAGGUGAUGCCGGCCCACGCCCGGGGGCUACUGUCGCACCAGUGGCACCCGGGGUACCACCGCUGCGCGACAUGUGGGCCCCCUAUCCCGGGUUCCCGGGAAGGUCUCAUCCCGGGGAGCGUCUGUGAGCUCCCCGGCAAGCUACCUGCUCGAAAGGGGCUAGCGGGGCUUCGAGGAAUAUUCCCGCUCGGGCACCUCCCGGGAAGCUGCUUCCCGGGAGGAGGUUCCCGGGUGCGCUGGGCCCGGGUGCUUCCCGGGGUCGACUUGCGGGGACGGGAGGUUCCCGGGCGCGUGCCCCCGCCUCGGGUCGUGGGGCCCGGUGGACAGCGCCACGCGGGGGCGUGGUGGGCGCGGGACGCGCGGUCCACCAAGGCAAGGAGUAAGGCGCGCGGCUCAGUAAACGAGCCGACCGACGGGUAGUUACCCGUCCGAUCCAAGGAACAGUGGUUGUCUAAUCCUACCCUAGGGUCUUAGGCCCCUAGCAGCGGAGGUGGCACCCAUGCAUGCCACCAACUCACCGGGGGGAGUUGCAUGCCUCCCCGUUGGACACUUGUAGCUCAUGCACCGUGGCACGUGUGGCAUCUCCUUAUGUAUAAAAGGAGGACCCAUGCCAACGGUCAAAGGGGUUAGACGGUGAGGAGGUUGGACAGUUGGUAGGUUAGGGAGUUGGUCAGUUGGUUCCAGUAGAUAGCCAGCAGAGAGCAGUAAGGGGUACUUAGACAUGGAGAGGAAGCCCGGGAACUGGCGGCAGCUUGCAAACGUUUCACCCGCAAUCAAUAUCAGUUCAGACAGGCAGGACGUAGGGUUUUUCACCUCCGGGUGGCCCGAACCUGGGUAAAAAACGUGUGUGCACUUGUUCUUGUACCCGCACGCACCCUUAGCAUUCUGUCUCACCGGCCCUGUAGGGCCUCAUCGGCCGUGCCGGCGAUCACCGGGUCUCCGCCCCAGACGCCCCUACCGAACCUAAAAGGGGGACGUGGCCGCACGCCCCCGGUUUCGAAGCACCGAGCGACGACAAUGAGCGCCGGCAUCGGCGCCAUCACAGCGUCCUCGCAAUGACCCGCGCCCGAAAAAGGCUCUCUCAAAGGGAAUGCGGCCGGGUCUCUAUGAUAGUGCACCUGUCGGCACAAGGCAUGGAGGGCAUGCACUACCAUAGAGUCUCCGCAGCAGCCCCUGCUCUUUGCGGAAGUGUCCUAUGGAGGGGGGGCGGCAAGGGCACUUUGGAAAUGCACCCCGUCAACGCCGGACGCUGGUGGGAUGCACCACCAUAGUGCCUCUACGGCGACCCUCGCCCAGGAGCCGCCCCCUUGAGGAAGCGCGGCAGGGGCACAACGGCAGUGCACCCGUCGGCGCAGGACGCUGAUGGCUUGCACUACCAUCGUGCCUCUGUGGUGUCCCUCGGGGCGGACUCGAUGGGGGGAUGCAGCAGGAGCGCGACGGCAGCGCACCCGCCCGCGCUAGGCGCCGGCGGGAAGCACCACCUCCGCGCCUCCAUGGCACCACCCGCCUUAACGGCCCUGAACCCGGCUUCGCUCUGAGCCGUUCCAUGGUUGGGGCGCGCCUUUUAUAGGCACGGGAGGGGGGUUUGCCACCGCGCGCGAUGGACCCGCGCAGCAUGGUGGCGCCCUUCCCUCGAACGCGGCGCAGUUCCCGCUGCCAUGUUUACCAGGCAACCGUGGCACACGUGGCGGCAACCUGUCAACUUAGAAGCCUCGGAGUGCGGUGAGCCCCUUGUGUUGCGGUCCUCCCGCACCACAAGGCACCGGUGUAUGGUGCGACCCGUGGGUAGCUCACGGCACCACAGUGUACAAGACUCCACCCUUUUCUGCAGGUUAGACUCUUACUAGGCCCGAGGUGCUGCAAUUUUUUUCAAAACUUACGGAAAUAAGAGAAAAUAAGCAACACAGACAAAUCCCUCCUGCCUCCCAGCCCUCGGGCACAAAGGGGUCGACGCCAAACUUGGAUGUGAGCGAUUCCUUUACGAGGCGCAGCGACCGUGCGGUGCAAGCUGCGGGGGGGGGGGGGGGGGAGGUGGCUGGCAACUGCUCGCCCAGUGAUGCACGUUGCGGGAAGCCCCGCCAACGGCACAUCCAGUGAUGCGCGUUGCGGGAAGCCCGGCAACGGCAUGUCCAGUGAUGCGUGUUGCGGGAAGCCCGCCAACGGCAUGUAAGUUUCGAGGCUACAACAGCCCCUGCUCACAACCAAGUAUGGAAAGACACUUUUGUGCACUUAAAGCAGGAGCCAGAAGAAGGAAAACACGCGAAUAAACAAGGCAAAGUCAAAGCUCAGGGGUGAAACACUUAUCUUUAUUCACGAUUAACUAGUGGUUCACACGCGGGGGCUGCCCGGGUACACUAGUUCGAGAGGUAUGCAUCGGGGGCAUCACCUGAGGGUCGGGCUCCGCCGCUUCACGGGUAGAACUUGCGCAAGUGCUCAAUAUUCCAGCUAUUGGGCACCGGUAAGCCGUCUUCGGUUUCCAGGUGAACAGCCCCCGGCCUGGUCACCUGCACUACCCGGAAGGGGCCCUCCCAUUUCGGAGUCAACUUGCUCCCGGCCUUCGUUCCUUGUAUCCGGCGCAGGACAAGGUCUCCAUUCUCGAGCCCCCGGGGACGGACUCGCCUGUCGUGAUAACGACGGAGUCCCUGCUGGUAGCGCGUGGCUCGCACAGCAGCCCGGCAUCGAAGUUCUUCGAUGAAGUUUAGAUCGUCGACCCUUUGCUCGUGUUGGCUGGUGUCGCUGUACGCGCGUACUCGGGGAGAUCCGUACUUGAGCUUGAGGGGCAGCACUGCUUCUGCCCCGUAGACAAGGGCGAAUGGAGUUUCGCCCGUUGCCCGACUAGGUGUGGUCCGGUUGGACCACAACACGGGCAGGAGUUCUUCGACCCAGUGCUUCCCGUGGCCUUUGAGCUUGUCAAAGGUUCUCGUCUUGAGCCCCCGCAGCACCUCUGCGUUGGCUCGAUCCGCCUGUCCGUUACUCCUCGGGUGAGCAACGGACGUGAAGCGCAGCUUAGUGCCCAUGUCUUUGUAGUAGGCUUGAAACGCCGCGCUCGUGAAUUGCGUGCCGUUAUCGGUGAUAAUGCUGUUAGGAACACCAAACCGGCACACAAUGCCCUUGAAGAACUUGAUGGCCGCCUGGGCGGUCACCUUCCGCACUGGUUCCACCUCCACCCAUUUGGAGAACUUGUCGAUGGCCACGAACAAAUAUACGUAACCGCCAACCGCCCUUGGUAGCUUGCCGACGAUGUCCAGCCCCCAGACCGCGAACGGCCAUGAGGACGGGAUGACAUGUAGGGCCUACGCCGGUUGGUAGCUCUUCUUUGAGUGGAACUGGAAAGCCUCGCACGUUCUCACAAGCCGCUCUGCAUCGGCCAGGGCCGUGGGCCAGUAGAAACCAUGCCGAAACGCCUUGCCGGCUAGAGCCCGGGAGGCCACAUGGUGUGAACAUGUGCCUCGAUGUAUGUCUUCCAGCAGUGCGCACCCUUCAUCCUGCGGCACGCAGAUGAGUUUGAUACCGUUCGCACUACCAUCUACCAGAGUGUACAUCUUGGCUUGUCGCGCUACAUGCUCCGCGGCGACAUCAUCUUCUGGGAGAGCCUCCCCUUUCAAAUAGCGGGCGAUUUCUUCCGCCCAGGGGGGAAUCUCCCUGCCAACGCAUGCCGCCAUAUCGGCGGCAUGGACCCCCGCUGUUGCAGGGGUUCCUUCGGUUGCCGGAGGGGCGUCCCCGGCAGCCGGCUGGGGGGCGACUGAAGGAGCCACUUGCUUCUAACAAAACACCCCCGCCGGAGGCUUCCGGCGCUCAGCUGCCAUCUUGGCCACCUCGUCAGCAGCGAAGUUAUCCUUCCGCUUGACGUGCUCGAAGCGCAAACCCUUGAACUUUCGUUCCAGCUUGCGGACCUCCUCCACGUACGGCGCCAUUUGAGGGCAAUCGUAGACCUUGUUCACCUGGUUGAUCACGAGCUGGGAAUCACCGCGAACAACCAGGCGCUUAAUGUCGAGGGCGACCGCUCCCCACAACCCGGCAAGCAGGCCCUCAUACUCCACCGUGUUGUUGGUGGAGUUAGCGAAGUCGAGUUGGACAGCGAACCUCAAUAGGUCCUCCUGUUGGUGACUCGAUGACGACCCCAGCGCCUGCUCCCUGAAGGCUGAACACCCCGUCAAAGUAGAGGGCCCAGUGGUCCUCAUCCAGCUUGCCGGGCAGGCUGGUCUCCAACUCACCUUACUCCACGCCCGUAGACGUCCAUUCCGCACCGAAGUCCGCCAGGGCCGUGCUCUUGAUGCUUUUGGAGUUGGCGAAGUGGAGGUCGAACUCCGACAACUCCAUCCUCCACUCGGCCACCCUCCCGGUGGCUUCACGGUUUGUGAGGGCUCGCUCAAGGCAGAAACCGGACACCACCGUGAUGCGGUGCGCCUGGAAGUAGUUGCGCAGCUUGCGGGACGCAAGGAGAAUCCCCAGAAGGAGCUUCUGUACAUGCGGGUACGUUGUCCGCAUGUCGCGUAGCACCGUACUAACGAAGUAUACCGGGUGCUGCACCAACCGCUUCCGCGGUGCCAAGGUACCGACUCGGGGGCGGUCCCCGGGUUUGAGGCGGUUGCCGGAGGCCGCUCAGCCCCCUGCGCCGCAGCCCCAGUCCCCGGGACGUCUUCCUCCCUCUCGGCAAUCAGCACCGAGCUGACCACCUGGUCAGUCACCGCUAGGUAGAGUAGCAGCGGUUCGCCCGGCUUGGGGGCGACGAGGAUGGGCGGCAACCUCAGGUACUGCUUGAGUUCCUGGAACGCCGCCUCGGCCUCGGGAGUCCAGUCGACUGGACCCUUCUUCUUCAUUACCCGGAAGAAAGGCAAGGCACGCUCGCCCAGCCUAGAGAUGAAACGUCCCAGCGCGGCAACACAGCCAUUGAGGCGCUGGACAUCUUUCACCUUGCGGCGGGCCUCCAUCUUCUCGAUGGCUUCUAUCUUGGUUGGGUUGGCCUGUAUCCCCCUGUAUGAAACCAAGAAACCCAGAAGCUGCCCGGAAUUGACACCGAAGGUGCACUUAUCAGGGUUCAGCUUGAGCUUGAUCCUGCGGAGGUUGUUGAACGUCUCCCGCAGGUCAUCAAUCAGCGAGUCCCCACGCUUCGAUUUGAUGACGAUGUCGUCCAUGUAGGCCUCCGCGUUGUAGCCUAGCUGGGGCCCCAAACAUUCGCGCAAGGCGCGCUGGAAUGUGGAGCCCGCGUUCUUCAACCCGAAAGGUAUGCAUGUAUAACAAUAGCAGCCAACCGAGGUGAUAAACGCUGUCUUUUCCUCAUCCUCGACCGCCAUCUUGAUUUGAUGGUAGCCGGAGAAAGCAUCCAGAAAACUCCGCAAAUCACAACCAGCGGUAGAAUCAACUAUCUGGUCGAUACGGGGUACAUGGAAGGGAUCCUUGGGGUAUGCACGAUUAAGAUCGGUAAAAUCUACGCACAUGCGAAGCUUAUUCCCUGCUUUAGGCACUACUACAGGGUUAGCCAGCCAAGUGGGGUACAAAACUUCCCUGAUUGCCCCGACAGCCCUAAGCUUGCCCACCUCUUACUUAAUGAAAUCUUUCCGCUCUUGUGCUUGCCGCCGGAUCUUCUGCUUGACGGGGUGUGCAUCCGGGCGCACCGCGAGCCGAUGCUCAAUCACCUCCCUGGGGACUCCGGGAAGGUCCGACGGUUGCCAGGUGAACACGUCGGCGUUAUCCCGGAGGAAGGUGACGAGAGCGCUUUCCUAUUCGGCGGCCAGGUUCGCACCGAUAGUAACGGUGCGCUCCUUGUUGCCGGCUUGGAGGGGCAGCUUCUUCACUUUGGUGGCCUCCUCCCGGAGCCCCUGCCCCUUGCCGGGGCGCGAGCUCGAGCCCGCGCCUCCCCUGGCAAGCCCUUGCGGGGUGGCGCGGGCCUUCUUCGUUGCCGGGACAUCACCCGGCAAGCCGUCGUCCUCGACAACAUCCUUGCCGCCGGCGUCAGCUGCAGCAGCGGUCUGGACGACGUCGCCACCGCACCAAGCCGCGUCUUUGAGGUCGCACCUGAUGGAGAGGACUCCAUAAAUGGACGGCAUCUUCAUCACGCCAUAGGCACAAUGUGUGGCCGGCAUGAACUUGAUCAGCGCCGGCCGACCAAGGAUCCCAUUGUAGGGCAACGGGGUAUGCGCCACAUCGAACACUAUGUGCUCGGUCCUGAACGCUUCCCGCGACCCGAAGGUGACUGGCAGCAUGAUGCGUCCCAGCGGGCGCACGAUCCCGGGGUUCACCCCCCGGAACGGUUCGGUGGGCUUCAGCUGCUCCAUCGGUAGCUGGAGCUUUUCCACCAGCCUGGCGGACAGGAGGUUAAGCUUCGCUUCGUUGUCCACCGGCACCUUGGUCACCUUCAUAUUGCUAAUGAUCGGCGAGACGACGAAGGGCAUUACCCCGGAACCCAACUGUCGCGCUGGGUGAUCGUCGGCGCUGAAGGUGCUCGGCACGUGCGACCACCUCAGCGGCUGCUGCGGCUUCGCAUCCGGCAGCAGUGCGCACACGUCGCGGGUGAGGCGCUUCACCGCGGCGUGGGAUGGGAGAGCAUAAGCUCCCCCUGGGAUGCAGGUGACGCCACGAGGCUCCUGGAAGCCCGGUUCGCCACCGCCGAUACAGUCGGACUCGCGUUGCUCCUCAGCGCGCGCCCUGUCGCGUCCCCGAGGAGGGCGUUCCCGCCCAGCGAGGGGUUGGCCGCGCCCCCCUUGGGGUUCACCCCUGCCGGCACCACCGCCGGCCGGCCUCGGACCCGCUUUGGGGUCAUUCGGGCAAUCUUGGGAGAGAUGUCCGAUGUCGCCACAAUUGAAGCAAGCACCGGCGGCGUGGCGCUCCUCGUGGCACUGCUCCCGCCGUUGCUUGAUCCCUUGCAGAACGCGGCAACUCUGCACGUCGUUGGUGGAGUUGCUGUGGAUGGGGCUGCGGGGCGCGUCGCCCUGCUUCCCGCCAGCCUCUCCACCCGGCGAGGCCUUCUUCGCGGGCCUCGCGGCGGGAGCCCUCGAGUCCGCAGCGAGGACUUGCUUCCCGCUACGCUUGCGGGAACUCUUCUUCUGCGAGCCCUCGCCAUUGCUCGCGGCAGCUUGGGCGCUAGGCGCCCUUCCUAGGCCAUGCACCAAGGCGUACAAGUCCUGCGUCGUCCGGAUCCGAUGCGUGCUCAGCUUCUCGCGUAUCUUGGGAUUGCGGACGUUGAUGGCGAAGGUGUUGAUAAUGGCGGCCGCCUCCGCCUAAGGGAUAGAAUAGGAGAGGUUGGAGAAGCGGUUGACGAAGGCCCGCAACGUCUCUCCCGGUUUUUGCACGAUAGUGUGCUGCUCCGCCAUGGUUCCCGGGUGCUUAUAGCUGCCCUGGAACGCGCUCACGAAUUGCUCGCGCAGGUCUGGCCAAGUGGCGACGGACCCGGCGGGUAGAUUGAGCAACCAGAUUCGCGCUAAUCCUUUCAGGACCAUCGGGAACCAGUUCGCCCUGACCUUGUCGUCGGCGCCGAUGGCAUGCAUGCCCAACGUGUAGGUCAGGAGAAAAUCCUUGGGGUUAGCGGUCCCGUCGUACGGACCAAGCGCAGGCGCUCGGACCUUACGGGGCCACGUCACCCGCCGCAGCUCGCGUGUGAAUCCGGUGCAGCCGUCCUCGGGGCCCAGGGGAGCGUCUUCCUGCUCCGGUGGGCGCUGGCGCUCGACCUCGCGCCUGCGCCGGCGCUCCAAGCGCUGGCGCAGAUCCUCUUGCUGGCGGGCAUUCAAGAUGCCACGCGCAUCGCCCCGCGGAACGGUGGGCGAUGAGUUCGAGGACCCCUCCGGGCCCCCGUCUCCUUGGCCUCGCUGAGGAGGGGGAGGGUUCUCCCCCUGUCGUGAGGCGGGUGGCGCGUCUCCGCGCUCCGGUUUUUGCCCGCGGCUGGAGCCUACCGAGGCGCCCUCGCCUUGCAGCUGCUGGGCGGCCAGGGCGAGAAGCGCUUCCAACUGCUCGCCCCACAUCUCGUGCGCCGGCGUGCCUUGCUGCGGCUCGUACCGCACCAUGACGCGCGGCGACGAUGGCUUCAGCCGGGGUUCGCACGGGGGGCAGCCGGUUUCCUGAACGGCUGCUUCCCGCCCUGGCCCCGGACGCCUCUGGGUGUGCAGGGUGCGAACCCCCAGGGGUUGCCCAUGACGCGGCGUGCUCCUGGUGCUUCUGCCGCGGGGCGUCCUCGGGCCACGACUCAACCCACUGGUUGGCCCGGGCGACGCCGUGCGUGCUCGCCUGACUGCCCCCGGCACUGGGGGCAGCCGGUCCCCUUGGUCGAGUGUCGGCCGACGGCCGAGGAGGCGGCGGGGGCAGCUGUGUUUGCUGCACCCUCGAGGGCUCGGGGUUCUCCUGAGCCCUCGACUCGGGUCGCACGUCGUGCGACCGCGUGUGUACCGCUGAUGCCUCACGCGGGUCUAUGCGUGAGUCACCAGCCCGCUUGGGGGGCAUGGUGACUAGACUCGCCGGUGAAGGAGAGCGAAGCCGACGCCGACGGAAACUUCUGCUGCCGGCGAUCUCCGGCGUUGUCCACUCCCGCGCCUGCUACCUGGCGCGCUAGAUGUCGUUGCUCGGUCCUCCGACACCGGGGGCGUGCAGCCACGUCCCCCUGUUAGGUUCGGUAGGGGCGUCUGAGGCGGAGACCCGGUGAUCGCUGGCACGGCCAACGAGGCCCGACAGGGCCGAUGAGACAAAGUGCUAAGGGUGCGUGCUGGUCCAAGAACAGGUGCACGCACGUUUUUUACCCAGGUUCGGGCCACCCGGAGGUGUAAAACCCUACGUCCGGCCUGUCUGAGCUGGUAUUGAUUACGAAUCAAAGGUUUACAAGUUGCCGGGCAGGUUCCCGAGCUUCCUCUCAAUGUCUAAGUUCUCCCUACUGCUCUCCGCUGACUUUCCACUGGAACCAACUGAUCCCCGAUCUAGUGAGCCAGCGAAGGGAACUUGUGGAACUGAAUGACUGUCCAACUGACCAACCAACAACCACCCCCUUGACCGUCGGCAUGGGUCCUCCUUUUAUGCAUAAGGGGAUGCCACAUGUGCCACGGUUCAUGAGCUACAAGUGUCCAAUGGGGAGGCAUGCAACCCCUCCCGAUGAGCUGGUGGCGUGCAUGGGUGCCACCUCCGCUGCUAGGGGCCUAAGACCCUAGGGUAGGAUUAGACAACCACUGUUCCUUGUAUCAGACGGGUAACUGCCCGUCGGUCGGCUCGUUUACUAAGCCGCGCGCCUUGCUCCUUGCCUUGGUGGGAACGCGCGUCCCGCGCCCGCCACGCGCCUGCGCGGCGCUGUCAACUGGGCCCCAUGCUCGAGGUGGGGGCACGCGCCCGGGAACCCCCAGCCCCAGCAAGUCGACCCCGGGAAGCACCCGGGCCCAACGCACCCGGGAACCCCCUCUCGGAAAGCAGCUUCCCGGGAGGUGCCCAGGCGGGAAUAUUCCCCGAAGCUCCGCUAGCCCCUUUCGGGCUGGUAGCUGGCCGGGGAGCUCAUAGACGCUCCCCGGGAUGAGACCUUCCCGGGAACCUGGGAAAGGGGCCCACGCGUCGCGCAGCGGUGGUACCCCGGGUGUCACUGGUGCGACACGCCAGCCGCGUCCGCAGCUGCGGGCGCGUUGCCGGGCGCUGUCACCGCGGCGGUGGUGUCCACCUCGGCGCUAGACGUGAGAGCCGGUUCCGGCUCCACCUCCGCCCCCACGACCUCGACGACCGGGUCAAGAUCGACCACGGUCGCGCCCGUUCUGGGCAUGGGCGCACUUGUGCUUGCAACAAUGAGAAGCAUGAGGAUCGGCGAAGGAUGGCGCUAUCAAAGACGGGCAAGGGUGACCAGGAUGGUUACCUUGCACGGCUGUCGGGCUUGCCGGGGAAGCCUCCCCUGCCUCGCUUGCGCCGGCGGGAGCGUCCAAGAGGCUUGCCGCGGGUGAGCUGCCGCUCAGUGCGAAAAAGGUACGUUCAUGAGUUUGGCUAACAAAAAUUGCAGUUGCAGAGAAGUAACGAACACGUACCGGCUGCCGGCCCGGCCUCCGAGAGGGAUGGGUCGUCAAGGGGCACGCCCGCGUCGCUGCCGACCCCUGCGGUGGUGGGUUCGGUGGCGCCGCUGGCAUCGGCACGCGCCCUCUUGCUUGGUGAGCCGGGCGGGGAAUCGUCCUUGCCAUCUUGUUGGCACCCGCCGAGGAGUUGGACUUCGGGGGGUUACGCCGGAGCGCGAAGCCCCGGAAGACCCCCGAGCAGGUGGCGCCGUGGGCACCCGCGGGGUCGUCGUGACCCGGAGAGCCCCAGGUGUCGACAGUGAUGCCGCCGCGUCGCCGGGAGUCGAACUGGUGGAAGCCCCCGCUACCGGGGCGAAGGCCGUUGCUGAAGCGACCGCCCCCGUAUACGGGUUCGAUCUCUGUGCUUUAGUGCUGGUCCCUGGAUCGACUCACUAGCACACAUAGUUUCAAGAUGUAAUAUCAUAGAACAAAGGUCUCAAUAUUACAACGUAUCAUCCAGAAUUUAAAGGUACUUACAACUCGCAUAACCCCACGGGUUAGCUGGAAAUAAAACAACUGUGAGAGAUACAAGGGCACAUCAACACCACGGUGAGAGCGUGUUGGAAUGUAGGCCCGUAACCCAAACAAGCAGAACGUAUAUCUUACUCGUCGUCGGAGCUUCCUGCAUCAUUAAACGAUGCAGCCACUAGGGUCAAUACAUUGAAUGUAUUGGCAAGAUUCAUUAGGAGUUAUAUCAGAACCUACCAAGUAUAUGCAUAAUGUAGCAAAGUGGGGGUUCAAGGCUAUUUGCGUGGAAGCAGAACAUAUAUUACCCUACUACAAAGGAAUGUUAUAAUAAUGUUAACUAUUGGACACGGGGUAGACACACCCAUUCUCCUAUUAACCUAGAGCACAUUGAAGUGGAUUCAUCAAGUGCCCCUACCCUGUUCAAACCAUUCAUUUUAUUUAAGAAAUUGGAAUGAGUGAGACUUUCCUUACAGCCCCAAUAUCUAGUUGCUCAUGAUUGUCCGUAACAGGGGACACGGCUAAGUACUUAGUUUGACACUAUCGAGAGGUUGUACACUUUACCCACAAGAAAUCGACGUGUUACUCCCUUGCUGUCCUCAGGGUAGAGUAGCAACGGCAUCGAUUAUAGGAAUUUUCAGACCAUAAUCACCCAGACCACCUGAGGGACCUACGUUCCCACCUACACGGCUACAUCUGCACAAUCCCUCGGAUCUAGGAUCAUAUGUCUUACAUCCAUUCUCGCAGAGCCCAUAUUACCAUGUGGUUGUACUAGAAGCUAGUAAACAGGAAACUAGUCCAGUCUCUGUUACCGCAGGUGGCAUUCCACAUUUGCAACGUAGGUGCUCCCCGAAUCCACGGGAGAGACGUCCAUGGACGAUCCAUUCCUGAAUCCACAGGAACUCGACUCAGAGGGACCCAUAGAAAUGGACCUGACGCAGCUAAUCCUCCAAAUUCUCAAAGCAGCCCACCCAUGACGGUUCAUUGAAUUAGUUGUUUGCCUUACAUCUAACAAAAACAUUUCAUAUAGCCAAAGGCAUAACAAUAUCAUAAUGUAGUUAUUUUCCCCACGAUACUACCACAGCCUAGCAUUCAACUACAAUCGAUGGCAAUUUGGUGGGAAGGUAAUGGCGAGGGUAAACUAUACUACAUGGGAUUUAUAGCUAGCAUAGAGGUACGAGUAAUAGUCCUAUCAAUGCAUCUCUACCAACAACACUAAUGCAAAAGUAUUUUAAAACAACAAUAAUAAUGGGAUAUGAUCAAAGUGAACUUGCCUUGUCCAAGGUUGUGGUACUUCUCGCACUCUUCGCAACAACAAUGAAUACAUUCCACACAAUCUAAAAUAAAAGAAACACACACAAUAAGCACAACAUUCAAUACAAAAACCAUGCCAUAGAGCAAUAUUUAAACUUGUAUGCCAUGAAUAUACACAAAAUAAUUCCUUUUCUGGUCCUAAUGGACAGAGAACAAGUUUAAAUAAUUUUACAGCAAGAUAACAUGCUCAAAACUAUUUUGAAACAAUUCAUUUGAAAUAUAAACCAUAUUCAACCAUUCUGUAAAUAGCUUCUGUCUAAGUUGUUCAAAACUAGAAUUAAACAGUGCCAAAAUAUUCUACAAGUUAUGAAGAUUCCAGAAAGGUGCGGAUCACAAUUUUUGGACAAACGGUUUGAAAGAUAUGAUGCUUUGAAGUUACAGGGGCUUUUCUGCAAAAAUGCCUUAACUAAUUCGGCCGAAUUAAGAAUAAAAUAAAAAGGCACUGCCACGUGGCAGAACAUGAGUGGCCGGAGCCUAGGGUUCCGGCCGGCGGCGGCGCAGGUGGCGCGGGCAGGCGGGCGCGGGCGCGCGGGGCGGCGCGGUCGGUUCGCGCGUGCGCUCGCGGAGGCGGGCUCGCGGGGGCGGCGACGGCGCGUGGGCGCGGGCGGCGCAGUCGGCGGAGCGGCGGCCGGCGCUAGGGAUGACGGGCGGGCGCGGCAGACGCACGGCGACCGGCGGCGCAGGACGGCGCCCAACCUUGAAACUGAGCGCGUCACCGGACGCGCUAGGGAGAGGGGAGAACGGGAAUGUGGCCGGAGGUGGGAGGAGCUCACCGGAGCGGCGACAAAACACGAAGAACGGCGACGGCAGAGAGCAACUCCGGCGAGAAAUUAAUCUCUAACCGAAGCGAAAUCGGGCGAGCGGUUUGGGGGAAGUGGCGGAGAAAAGCGAGGGCCUCGGGAUGACGCGCAGGGAUUUGGAGGAAACGGCCCGUGCGCGGAGAAAUCGGAGGUGGAGUCGUGGGCGACUCGGAGUCGUGCGUGGCGCGGAAUCCGGAUUGAGGUUGAAGAAGGGUGGCGGGGUCCACCGGUCAGUGGGAGAAACCGGGCGGUUCGGGCUGGGCCAGUCCGGUUCAGUCCGGUUUGACCGGUUCGGUCCGGUUUGACCAGUUUUCUACGGUUUGACCGGUUUUCUCCGGUUUUUCCUUUUCUUUUAUCUAAUUUCUGAUUUUGAACCUCAAAAAUGACUCGAAGCUCCAAAUCACUCCAAAUAAAAUGCAACAAAAUUUGUAAAAUCAUAUUUUCAUAUGAUCUAACUUUUGGAACAAGAAUUUCCUCAAAAUAAAAUAUUGAAAAAUACAUUUGCCUAUAAAAUGGCUUUUAGGGUCCCUUAGGCUAUCAAAACAAAUUAUUUUUCAAAAUAAUUUCAAAAGCCAAUUUAUGGGAUAGCUCUAUGUAUGCAUUAAAUCCCUUUUUACCACAAUAUCCUCAUGGGUUAAAAUGCAAAUACUCAAGAGCAAGAUCAAAGUCCAAGAUCAAAUAAAGGCAUCUUUGCAAAAGGAUUUUCUAGGCAAAUUUUAGGGUUUUGAAAGUGAUUAAAUGCAACGGUGACAUGAUGCUUAUGAUAUGCAAUGCAUAUGAAGAGUUUUGAAAAUUGGGAUGUUACAGUUGCCGGGGCACCGGCGCCCCCUGCAGGCGAAGGCGCUGCUAGAGUACCGGCGGGCGCCCCGGGACCGGUUGCCGCCACGGUGCUAGCGCCUGCCACUGAGGUGGAAGCCGUCGCCGAGACACCCGCGGCCCCUGUUGCCACGGAUGCCGUCGAGGUGCCGGUGGGCGCCCCUGAAGCGGCCGCCGCCGCAAGGUUGGCGGCCGCUGCCGGGGCGGACGUUGCCGUCGAGGAGAUGGCUGCGGCCGCGGCAAACGCCCUCGAUCUCCUCACGAUCAGGGGCGCGCUGUCGUUGCUUUCGUCGUUGUCAUCCACGGCGAAGACCUCCGGGGAUGCGGCCGCCUUGCCCGCCUCGUCGUCCAGCGACUGGGAGGGCCAGCUGGGCUCGGAUCCGCCCCUGCUCUCCUCGAGCAACUGCUUCUCGCGGGGUGCUUGCGGGGGAGCGUGCGGGACCCGGGUGGGGGUGUCGUCCAUUAACCCCCACUCGUUGCAGGGCGGGAAGGCGCCGACGAUGUCGCUGAGCGCCUUGACGCCGGCGUGAAGAGAAGAAACCCCCAGCGGGAACUCCGUUGAUUGGAAGAUCUCGCCGAAGAACCCCCUCACCCACGUCCUGAGGGUCUCCAAGUCCACCCCGUCCUGCUGGAGGCGUGUCCUGUCCCCGAGACCCGUGUACAUCCACGCGGGCCGGCAGCGUAGAUGCAGCGGGGCUAUGCGCCGGUGGACGAAGGUGCGUGCCACGUCCACGUCGGUGAGCCCCGCUAGCCGCAGCGCCUUGAUCUUCUCCACGAUGGGGAGGAGGUCGGCGUCGCGGUGGUAUCUGUCCUGCCAGCCGUUCUGGGGUUGCGGCAGCUCCGUCGGCGACUGGAUGAACUCGUAGUGGUCCUCCACCCGGACCCAGCACCAAUCGCUCCGCCACUCAUUUUCGAUUUUCUUCCCCGACCGGACGAUGAAUUCGGAUUUCAUCUGAUCGCGGGCACGGAAUACCACCCCCGACGACAUCGCCUUCGCGUUGUCAAUGCGGGGGUAGAAAUAGUGGCAGAAGAGUCCCACCGACGGCAUCACCCCCACAGACGCUUUGCAGAGGAACUGGAAGGUGGCGAGGAGGAACAACGACGUGGGGUGGAGGUGCGCCACCUGCAGCUGGUAAGACUCCAUCAGUGCGUGGAGGAAUAGUGAGAAGGGCGGCACCAGGCCGCAGAGGAGGAAGCGCGCGAACACCCGGAAGUCGUUGUCCCGGUGCUCGACACCCGCCGGGAAGAUCAGCGUCUCCCCGUGCUCGUUGAAGCUGGAGGCGACGGCGUGCCGAAGCUUCCCCAGCGCCUCGCCGUUGUAGCCGGGGCGGAAGAAGGCGACCGUGGCCCGCAUCUCCCGCCUCUUCAGGUACUUGGCGGCGGCCGCCUUGGUUGCCGCCUCACUCUUGCUUGCCGCGGCCUUCUUUGAGACCAGGACCUCCUUCCCUUUUCUGGUGGUGGGGGGCGCCAUGGAGAACGAGGGCGAAAACUAGCAGGAGCGCUAACGGAGGAGCGGGGUUGGGCCGCCCCGACAAAGCUGGAAACGAGGCGUGCCUCAAGAGCCCAGCAUUUCUCGUCGCCUCCGACUGACUGCGGACCAACGCUGCCCGGGGCCGCCGCCCCGGCAUCCAGAACCUAACUACGCCCCGCACAGCAAACCGCCUUCACCUCCUUCCGAGGCCGCCGCCUCGACUUCCUUCCUCUGCCAAGCCUGCCCAAGCAAAAUCCGCGCCCAAAACGCCAGAUCCACUGCCUGGACAGGCCCGGCCAAAUCCCGAGACCGCCGUCCCGGCAUCUGCUGCCACGGCCACGCCGGCCGUUUCCAGCGUGCCGAAGCCUCGCUCAGGGGAUUUCAUAUAGCUAACAAUAUACCUAUUAGAAUUUUUUCCUCUUGUAAAGCACAAAUGAACAUAUAUCUCAAUCAAAUUUUACAGGCAUGGAAUGCACAUCCAAAUGUACAUGUAUAUUAUUUUUUCAGAAUUUUUUUGGAUACCAAAAAUGUAGUUUCUGAUUUUUUGAAAUAACGGGCUCAUUUGAGCACCAACUCAUUUUUGGGCUUUGCUUAUAAUUGAAGGCUAUAUCGCAUCGUGUCCAUCUAGGGUCCACUAAUAUACUCCAAUUGUACAAAGAAAUCAAAUGUCUGCAUGGGAAUUUCCUGCAUCUUAAGGAAAAACAUUCUUAGUUCCAGAUGACAUUGUACACUCUAGUUUUUUCGUGUCUGUCAAACAGACACAGUCUCUCUAGGUACACAUUGCAGGAAAUGACUCCAAUGCGAUAGUACUCCUUCCGUUCCAAAUUAGUUGUACAUGAAGUCUUACAAAAUGAGGCAAAAGGAAAAAAAAUGUAUUCCCAUGUAAUUUAUUACGCCAUGUAUUCAAUCUUUGUCCAAUCACUAAUUUUCUUCAUCUAAUAACAUAAUAACAUGAUAGCAUUAAAAUUGUUUGUCUAGCAAAAGUGUCCAAUCACUAUCUUUCUUCAUCUAAUAAGAUGAUAGCAUUAAAAGGCAACAUGAUAGCAUUAAAAAGCUAGAACUCGAAUUUGAGAUCUUUGGCUCUGAUACCAUGUCAAGUUUCAUGUGCUAGCCAACGCAACCGAAAGACCGAUCUGAUGGAAAGGACUAGGCAAUCCACUUAUACACUUCAACAAGUACAUCCCUAGCAGGUCAUUUAUAUCUAUUAGAAAAAUACUACUUCUCCCUAAUAUAUCAAAGUUAAAUUUCAAAGUGAGAUACUUGUUCGUCCCUAAUAUACAAGUAGUUCAUCCCUCAAACAAUAUAUAGGCAUAUGUAUAAAUCUGAAGUACUGCUUUGUCCCUAAUACCUCAAACUUAAAUUUCAAACAAGUAUUAGUACCUCAUAAUGGACAUUUAAUCCAAGCACAAUUAAUGUCUCCAAUGUAGCUAAAUAAAAAAUUAUUGGAUGUAAUCAAAUUUCCAAGUUGCAAAGAUCUCAAAGCUUCAUCCUCUUUGGCUCGCUUCUACCUCUCUGUAGGCAAAGUUAACAGAUAUGUCUGUGAAAUAUAAUAUUUUCAGUGUCAUCAUAAUUCAUGUUAGAAUUAUCGUCCAAACAAUUUUUUAAGGAAAUAUUAGAAAGACGGAAAACAACUGAAUGAUUAUGGAUAUCAAGUUAGAACUAACGUCAAAAUGAUUUAUUAUAUAAAUAUGUGAGAGUGAGUACAACUGGAUGAUUAUGCGUAUUUUUCUUAUCUGUGGUUUAUGCCAUCAACAUUUGUACAUGUUCGAUUGUGUUUUCUAAAUUAAUCAAGCACUGCCCACCAAAUGUCAUGCUGACUAUCGAAGGUCAAUUCCAAGCAGCACUGUGUGAAAUAAUUAACUAAAUAGGGCCAAUAAAUAUCUGAGUAGUAGAAGGUUUCCAAUUUUUAUAUAUUUCCUAUUCUAGAGUGCUCUAAAGUUUCUACACAUUUCCACCUAAAUGUCCAAAUAUAUAUACUCCUCACUCUGAUCCAUAUUACUUGUCGUAGCUUUGUCCAGAUACACAUGUACCUAAACAUUGAAUUCCAUUGAUACAUGAGUAUGUGGACAAAGUUGCGGCAACAAAUAUGAAUCGAGGGAGUAGUACUAGGUUUUUACUUUUAUUUAUUUCAUUUUCUAGAGCACUCUAAAACUUUACAUAUUUCUAUCUAAGUAAUUCAUAUUUGUAUUAAAUAUUUUAAAAGUUUGCACUGCAUUUUUCAACAUUUCAUUUAGUGGAAAUGUCCCAAAGUUCAAAAGGUGGAGGGGUGAAACUAAACUGAAUGACAUAGUUUUGCUAUCAAACAAAAAAUGUCCAAAACAAACAAAAUAUUACAAGCAGGCCGAGUUUUUUGCAUGAAUUUCAUAAUCAUGAUUGCUGAAGAUAAGCAAAAUAUUUAACAUUUAGGUGCCAACUAACUGGAUUUCCAUUAAAGUAUUUUAAUAUCAUUAAACCUAAUCGGGAUUCCACUGCAAUACAAAAGCAAACAUAUGUAAUUAGCAAACUUGUUGGGUUGUUAGCAGCUCAACCUUGCUGACCCAUCCUGGGCUGAAGGACUGCCACAUAUAAAGUUUGGCUUCGUAACCAUCAUUAAAUUUUUCUAAGCUUGUGAGUUUGAUGAGAACGUAAUGUGCGACCUUGCCAUCUUCGCACCACACAACAACUAAUUCAUAUCCGAUGACGAACUAGGACUAGUCAAACGGAGCUGGGGAACUGUACAGAGCGAGUUCUUCCGAUAACCUCAUUUAAUAAAAAAAAAUAUUGCUGUAGACAACGUUGUUUAUGUAGUCUUUAAUGAUAUGAGGGUGGUGCGCAGUCAUUUGGAGGGCAAAGGGCAGUACUUAGUCCGUAUCGAUAUGAAGAAUGAUGAUGUGAAGUUCUAUCGGCAAACUACAAACCGGAUUCUGUCACAGCUCUUCACCUGUGAGAUCGGUGCAGACCAACAAGUCUUAUUAGAAGACCAACAGGUACAAACUGGAUUUGGUUCGUGCUUUGAAGGACGCUAGUAGGCUGCAUUUUCUCAGUUUGUAAUACUUCUUGCUGUGACCUUUUUGAAUAUGUUGAGACCUUUGCUGCUCUGAAAUGUCACUCCCUGUGUGAAAUUGUAUUGAUGUGCUCUUGUGAUGCAGCUUGUGAAACGGUAAAAUGUUCAUGAUGUUCUUGAAUAUUUCUGAUUUAUAAAAAUAAAAUGUUCAUGAUGUUCUUGAAUAUUUCUGAUUUAGAAAAAUAAAAUGUUCAUGAUUACGCAGACUGCCGUUGAAUAAAUCUGACCGAAUAUUGUUGCAAUGUACUGAUGCCAAUUACGUGGCAGAGGAAGACUAGUCAACGAGUCAAGCCUCGCAUGCCAUGGUCAAAUGGUCAAAUGAGCUAGAGUGGGAGGCAAGAAAAGUGAGAGGAGGGGGCCCUUGUUCCAUGGUGGACCAUGGACCAAGCCCUACUUUUCUCACAUGGUGCACACAAAAGUUAUGAACCAAAAUAGCUACUUUUAUUCUUUUGCCCCCACUUUUCUCUCUCCCUCAAGAGUAGUCAUGGUCAUUUGUCAUGGACCCCUAGGCUCUUAAUACCCCCCCAUGGGGGCAUGUAUCAUUCACUCUCAACUUGAAUAAACUUAAGGGGAGAGGGCUAGAGCCUCUUGUAAAGAACUCUAGUUUCGGGAUCCGGGAAGACGCGUUCGGCCCGGACUCGAAGGAGAAGGGGUUGGGUUAGAGUUCCGAGGGUAUCCUAACCUCGAUACUUGGAAAGACGCGUUCGGUCCAAGUACGAGGCGGCCCCGACGAACCUCUCGCCAAAAGGUGUCUUGGGAAGAUCCGCUCGGCCCAAGCCCUCGGCUAACAACCCCCUCGAAGCCUUUCCUAACAUAGGAUUAAGUCGCACCCGUAGGGUCGACCGAAGCUAUUCAAAAAUAUCGACGUGUCAACUUGUCCAAGUGUACGGCGACCUUCGCUAUAAGGCCAGCGUACACGCCCUACAUUUAUACUCGUACUUGUGCCAUCGAGCGUUGCCACCCCUUACUCUAAUUGUUGUUAAGAACAACAACACAACCUGUAAGUCAUUUCUUCUAUUUUCAGUCUGAACAUGGAAAAUUAAGAUUUAGUCAUAUAAUUUUAACAUUGCUUUGAAUUCUUUGAUUGAUCGUCCUACUUUACCAAGUACAGAAAAUUAAAACAUUAGGCGUCAAGGACGAGCCACCCUCUUCCUUUUAACUUAUUGCAAAUUAUUUCUUUGAUUUUCUUACUGUUGGUACUGGAAACUGAAACUUUAUAUGUCCUGUCAAUGCACGUAAUUGUGCUCACAGUAUCUAGGUCGCACUGAAUUUAGUGUCUGUGAUCACCCUAACUGAAGCUCCCACGUCACCAGAAAUUAAGCAUGCUGAAAGAAAUACCCGUGCCUGUGCUCACAGUAUCUAUUAAUAUGCAAAAAAUGCAGCCUUUACCAAAAUAGUUGAGAAAUACUGUAUCUGACUUUCCCAUUGCAAUAUUCAUAGGCUUAUGAUUAUGAUGGCAAUGAACAAGGAGCUGGUGGCCUGAGUAAGGCUGGUAAGGAAGUAAAAACGCUGGUCCACUGUAAAGCUGGACAAAGUGAAUCUGAUGACGAUGAAGACGAAGACACUGAUGUAGUGACCACCGCUCUUAAAACUUUCAUAUGUUUUUAAGUUCACGAGUCAAUGAAAAGAGGAGACUAGAGGAUGAUGAUGCCCAACCUUCCAACGGUGCAGCUCUAAAAAAACCAAAGAUAGAACCUGUAAGUCGUCUCUGCUAUUUUCAGUCUGAACUUGUGAAAAUUAAGAUUUAGUCAUAUAGUUUAACAUUGCUUUGAAUUCUUUGAUCGAUUGCCCUCCUGUUGGUACAUGAAAUUAAAACAUUAGGUGUCAAGGAGGAGCCACCCUAUUCCUUGGAACUAAUUGCAAAUUUGUCCACUCAAUCUCCCUAGUGUUUAAACUUUUCCUAUGAUGAGAUUAUAAAGUUAAUGUCAGCAGUGCUCAUCUCUGUUCUGUUUUUCCACAUUGUGUCAAUGGCAGUCAGUUAUACACUUAGGGUGUAUCGAGCAGGCUCUGUGUGGGGGUAGGGGUCAAGAGCUUGAUCCCUCUGCCCCCAGCAGUAACAGGCAGUAACCCCAUGGAUGAUGCAAUGCGCCUUAGUCUUCUUUAGGGAAAAGUAGCAGGGGAGGCCGUGGCAACCAUGAUGGGUGGCAGCAUAUAUCUUAAUAUAAUGAAGUGGAUAUUUACAGGGUUAUAUAGUAUAUACGGGUUCCGGCCACACGUUAUCUAGCAACGAACCUUAGUGUCAUGAUGUCUGUCAUUAUGUGUGGGAGGGGCACAUACUUGCCCAGCUUAUCACCUUAUUCACUUGGAUUAGGAUACAUGCUUGUCAUGCUUUUCGUAGGUUAUUUCUAAUUUCUUAUAGAGACCUAAGAAGUUGUCUAAUCUUAAUUUUUUGUGUGUACUGUUGCAGUUUACAGCGUACCUGACAUGUGGUGCCCGACUGUGUGAUGAUUUCGAAGCUAUUCCUUUCACUAAGAAUAUAAGUCAGAAUACAACUGGAGGUGAACAAAUCUACAAAGGUGGUAGUCUUGACUCCGCAGGUGAGAUUUUUUUUCUUGCUUCGUUGUAAAUCUUGCUAUUCGACAUAUGCACAUCCUAAACUUGCUUUGAUGAUCAAUUUAUUCUUUUUAAAACUUCUCCAACUAUAGAUCAUGUAUGUACAUCUGCUCUAAGCAGCAGCUCUGUUGAUCCAGAAGUUGUGUUGUGCUCAUGCCGAGGGUUUGAUCCUGAUGUUACUCAGGUCUGUCUGAACUUUUACUGCUUUUAUAGAGGGUUUGUUUUGAGCUGAACAUUUGACUUUUGGUUCUGACAGGUGUUUGUAGAGCUGUGCGGAUCUAGAUUACCAUUUCAGGAGAACCUGAGCGAAUGGAGUGUAAAGCUGCUGAUCAAGGCUGCUUUUGCCAGAGCAGGAGUUGAGUCAGAUGAUUUCUAUGCAACAUUAUCUGGAAAAGUCUUAGAGCCGGAGAGACCACUUUCUUAUUAUCAUAUACGUCAAAAUAGUACGAUCAUAGUUCAUCCUAAACUAAGGGAUGGUGUUAGGUACGUUAUAAAUUAAAAUCCUUUUAUUCAAUGGAAUAUCAAUUGAUUAAUUUAUUAUUUGGAGUACUAAUGCUGUUGCUUUGGCAGGUACCAGACGUGGGAUGAUAUUGUCAGUGCUGGUCCUCGUUACCACAGUGUGAAUUUGCCGUCUGAUUUAGUUUUCAAUACCAAUCAAUUGACAUCUACAGCAACAGCAGCAGCACCAGUACCAGCAGCAGCAACCACAGCGACCUUUCUUUCUGAGCAUCUGCAACAUCACACUAGGAAGGUAUUGAUAGGAAUGUGUCAGAAACAUUGUGGUGGCAUUAGUUUCGGAGGUAAUUUUACUUCGUCGCAAAUCCUAUUCCAUGAGGGGCAAGUAAAAUUCGACGGUUCAAUUGUCCCAGUGCAAUACAGUCGGGCUUCUGCCAAACUUGAUUAUGAUCGACUUCACACCAUAUUCAGCGCUGAUUUCUAUGAUAACUCCAGUCAAUCUUAUCCACUCCAUGUUCAGAACUUGCUCGAUUUUCUGUGGGCUGUACCAGAUGGCGCCAACCCAGACAGUGAGGAUGUGGUAGCUUUUUUGACUAAUCACCCUGCGGUUAUAUCUUACAUGCAGAGAAUAUCUGUAUGCCAGUUGCUUGAUAACCUGUUCAGCAGGUUCGGUAAUGUUGAUAAUAAAACUAUCUACAUGUUCCUUGGAAAUCUUGGUGGCCCAAACGGGUGGAUCAAUUUGGUCAGGAAGGUUGGAGCAAUGGAUACGGUCUACACCUAUGGUUGUACAUUUGAUCGGAAGGGAAAUCCGACUCCUGUGCCAUACGGUGCUAAUCGGGCACAGUGUCUACAUUUCUCCAGUAACUUCUUUAAGCAUGCCGGUCCACAUGUUAGUAUUAAUCACAUCUAGAUAUUUCUUCAUAAAAUAUAUCCUUUUAUAUUUUGGUGAUAAACUAAUUUGUAUAAUUUAAUUUGGAAUAGCUCAAUAUGGAGGAGAUAGAGGCGGCAUUUUCUCUGGCUAUGGAACCCGUAGAUUUCUUGGGUAAAUUACUGGGAGAUAUUGCCGUCAAGCUGCAGAAGAAGACACAACCCUGUACGGCAGGAAUAAAGAAUGUUAUCACUUGUUUAAGAGACAUGUAAGUUGUUAGCUAUUGUAUUAUUUCAUUUUCUAUAUUAAGAAAUUAAUAUAUAUUAUAUGUAUGUGUGUGUGUGUGUGUGUGUGUCUGUACUAUCUGCAGCCUGGGAAAGAACGUUGUUAGUUGUACGGUUUAGAAGACCACAGAUAAGAUCUAUUGAUCAAUUGUUUAAAUUUUGCUGAAAGAUUUUGGUCUUGUUUGUCCUGUAUGGUUGAAUUCAUAAAGAUUUUCCUCAUUUGAGAUCCUAAGUGAAAAGUAAUGAAAAUCUUUUAUCUUAAAUGCGCUCUGAGGGGCAUCAACAUGUCCUAUUGAUCACUUGUUUAAAUUUGCUGAAAGACUUUGGUCUUGUUUGUCCAGUAUGGAUGAAUUGAUAAAGAUUUCUUUCAUUCGUGAUCCCAAGUGAAAAGUAAUGAAAAUCUUUAUCUUAAGUGCGCUCUGAAGAGCCUCAACCUGUUUGAGCACCUUUUCAGUAGCAUAUUUUUCCAUCUUUAAUGCAUGCAGUCACAACUGCUCCCUCCGUUUGUAAAUAGUACUCCCUCCGUCCCAUAUUUAAGUGACUCAAAUUUGCCCAAAUAUGAAUGUAUCUAUUUCCAAAAAGCGUCUAAUACAUGUAUGGACGGAGGGAGUACAACAUUUAUGUUUGUCUUAAGUCAAACUUCUCUAAGUUCGACCAAUCUUUUAGACAAAUAUACCAAGACUUAUGACACCAAAUUAGUUUCAUUUUAUCCAUAAUGAAAUAUAUGUAUUCAUAUUGUCUUUAUUUGAUAUCGUAGAUCUGUAUAUUUUUAUAUACCAAGUCAAACUUCAACUUCACUAAGUUUGACUUAGGAUAAAGCUAAAUGUACUACUUCCUCCGUCCAAAAAAGAUAUCUCAAGUUUGUCAAAAUUUGGAUGUAUCUAGACAUGAUUUAGUGUAUAGAUGCAUUUAAAUUUAGUCAAAGUUGAGACAUCCUUUGUUGGACGGAGGGAAGUAAUACUAUUGAGAAACGCUUGGAGUAUAAGUUUAUGUAUGCUCAGUGACUACGUCUGGUGUGAAGUUUGGUUUAGGAUACACUAUAUGUACUACUCCCCUGUUCCAAAAUGCAGGGCGCAUAAGUUUUAUUGACUAUCAAAUUUCCUAAAGCUUGACCAAACUUACAGCAAAAAAUGUCAAAUGUAAUCGUCUUCAUUUGGCACCGUAGAUGUUGAUAUUUAUUGCUUCAUAUAUUGAACAUCCAUCAUUGAUAGCUAAGUGGGCCAAUGUACUUUCAAGCUCAUGCAUUUAUAAUUUUUUGAAGGACGCUAGGCUGCAUUUUCAGUUUGUAAUACUUAUUGUUGUGCCCUCUACGAAUAUGUUGAGACAUUUGGUGCUGUGAAAUGUCACUCCGUGUGAAAUUGUAUGAAUGUGUGCUCUUGUGAUGUGGUUUCUGAAACAGUAAAAGGUUCUAAGAGUAUUUCUGAUGUAUAAAAUGUUCAUGAUUGCACAGACUGCUGUUGAAUAAAUUUGACCGAAUGUUGUUGCAACGUAGUGAUGCCAAAGUGCUAAUGCACACUCUUGCUGACUACAGAUCAGCGCAGGCCAUGAAUCUCUAGAGCCACUCGGUGUGUUUAUUUGAGGUGAUGUAUUUGGUGGUUCAGUUACUGGAGUAAUACUUAUCUUCUGCUUGAGUUGUUCUGGUUGCUGUUUGUCUGAAACCUUACUAAGACCUCACUUUACAUGUGCUUACCUGAAGAAGAGCGUUGCUGCUGUUGGUUUAUGUUUCUCAAACUGUCUUGCUGUGCAGUUAAGUUAGCUGCAUUAAUUUGAAAAGCUAUUAUUGUGUUAUCUGCUUAUUAGUAAAGAUGUGAAGACCCCAUACGAGGUUUUGUUUGUUCAAUUGCGUGUUGUGAGUUUCCCAUGGUUUGCCGGAGUCGCUACUUUCUGGCUCAGGCUCAGACCAUGUGGUGUUCGUUGGUGAGACGGCGGUGGUGAAAAGCGUGCCAGACUUUAGGAGUAAACAAAGAGUGAAUACCAUUUUUUCUCCUUAUUUUUACUUUUGUGACACAAUCUGUCUCAUUUAACAAAAUUUCGACAAAAUUAUCCCAUAUAAACAAACUUGCGUCACAAAUUACCUCAAUUAGCGUACUCUCUAUUUUUCCUAAACUGACAGGCUGGGCCUGCAUGUAAGGCGUAUGUCUUCCCCAAGGACACUCGGCACUUGCCGUACCGAACUAUAGCUGCCUCACUCGGUCAAUGGUGCACCUCAACUUCCUCCAAUAUCUACUGUGGUGCUUUACAACUGCCGGACAGCCUGUGUGGCUGUGGAAGAUCCAAUCUCUUCAAAGCCUUGACAUCUGUGAUUUGCUGAAAUUGGCUGGCCUUCUUGCAUCACUACAGCACCUCACCUCUGUCCAAGAUUGAAAAUAUGUUGCUUUAAUGCUCGUGUGGUGCUACCUGAGUGGUUGGGAGAGAUCUCUGCUUUUCGACGGUUUAAGGUUGAGACAUACCGUAGCCUUGGCCAACUCCAUACAACAACGGCUCACUGUUCUGCAAGACAGGAUAUCAUACAACGGCUCACUGUUCUGCAAGACAGGAUAUCGUUCGGUGUCCCGAGCUUCGGAAGCGUUACAGGAAAGGCGACCGGCUGGAUCGGGACCGCAUCUCCAUAUACCUCGUGUGGACGUUCAGAGGUCAUGAGGACUAAUGCACAGUGGCGUUACAGGAAAGAAGAUUUGAAAAUUAAGUCUUUAUAGUGUAGUAUGUGUCAUUUUUCUGGCCCCCCUAAUAAAUAUUUCCUGGAGCGGGGGCGGUCGGGACAAUCCUUCAACGCGACCGGCCGCAUUGACAACACUUCGGGUCACGAGUAUCCGAUUCAAACCGAGUUGGCCGGUAUACUGGUGUUAAUUCACAGUUUGGCAUAUAAAGUAGCAAGUCUCUCUUGAGUGUGGUUUGAUGUUACAAAAUGCACUUGAUUUCGUUAGUCCACAAGAGGAUAAACUCAGCGCAGCUACCAACGCUACAAAUAGCCAUGUGAUGACAAAGAAAAUGUUGAUCGGAAUCUUCAACAAAAAAUGAGUUUUUUGUGCGGCAAAACUCAAGAAAAAAGAGGAUCGAUAAAAACAAUUAAAAAAAAAGAAAACUUGGCUUGACAAGUUACUCAAGGAGAAACGCAAGCCCAACAAAGUUGUUGCAUCCGAAAACAAAAGAGCAAAGGUAUGUUACAAUAUGAUAUACCUUCUCCAUUCAUUCCUAAACUACCAGCUAGUAUUUUUUUUCUUUUUUUGCAACAGACAAUUCUUUUAUUGGCAGCAACAAAAAAAACAUGAUGGUGUAGAGCCUCAAGCAGGAGCGGAGAAACUUCAAGAGUGCAAUUCCAUGAUCAGUUAACACACAGCUCCUAACAGCCCCUCCUUGAGGUGAUGAUAUUUAUGAUGAUCUGUUCUAGCGUGACAAGCUUGCUAGAUAGUAGUUCGGACAGUGUUGACUAGUAUUUUUGACAGCGUUGCCUAUAUUAUUUUGGAUUUUUGGGGCUAACUAUAGUCUUUUGUGGCCUAAGUGUACAAGUAAACUGGCCAAAUAUGUUUACUUGAAUGAUUAUGUAAGAACAUAUUUAAGUGUUAAGUGCUUGAUGAUUCAAUUGUUCAGAGUUCAGACCUACAAAAGUGUCCAGCUUUUGCUUGUAUAUUUUGUCCUUGCAAAGAUUCAAAUGUUCAGACUUGGCUGUGUAUAAUCUGUCCUUGCAAUGGAGCAUGUAUUGUAUCAUCAAUUUCGUUUCUAGUACUAACAGCCUAUACCGUGUUGAGUUCUCUGCGUUAACAAUUUAUAUGUACUGAUGAUGUUGUUCUAAACUUGUUGAUGUCUGCCUGAAAAAAUUGGAAUCGUUGUACUGUGUUCUUGUAUACGUGCUUCUGUUAUAUCUGUCGAACUGGGACUGCUAUUAUUCUAAAUUCGUUGUCUUUUAAUGGGCGGUGGAUCCACUCUAAUUUAUUGGGCCCGGGACCUACUCGUAAAGAAUCGACCGUUCAUUUUCUCGUCCGAGAUUCGUGCUUCAUUUUCCAGGUUCAAUGUGGGUUCUGCGAAGGCAGAGAGUGGCUCAGGCGGUUUGGCCGGGCGCGGGACUCGGGUAGGACGCACGUCGGUUGCUGGUUGGCGAAAGAAAGGCCGAUGCUGUCUGUCUUCGGCGGAGAUUGGGUAGGUAUUCUUUCUUAUUACACUAACACGUUUUGAUAUUUGUACAAAUUAUUUGAUGGUCAAAACGAACUCAGAGGGUUUGUUUAAAAUGGUGUUUCCCACCUACAGAAAAAGUUUCAAAAAAUUUGGAACAAGUUUGAAAUUCUUGAAAUCACGAGGAUUCAAAUUUGGUUAAAGUCGCAGUUUGGCAUAUAAAGUAGCCAACUCUGUCUCGACAUGUGGGCUCGUGGGAAGGAAAGAGGCGAGGUUGGUGGGAAAAAGAAGUUCAAACAUGUGGGCUCCAUCUUAUGGCUUAAGUCGGCCUUAAACAUUGUGGAACUCUUAUUUUGUUAUAGCAAAUGUUGUGGGUCCUACCUUAAUGGGUCAAAACCUGACUUCCGUGUAGCCUAGCACAAUGACUAAUGUGGUCUUGUGGUCAACACAUAUGUAACAUUGAGGGGCGACUCUCCUCACCUCCAUAUUUUAGAUUUUUUUUUAAGAAAAAUGUUAAUCGGGCUGUACUGGGCUAGUCCAGCCCGUGGACCUCAGUAUGAAGCUCCGGCGAAAAAAAAGAAAACUACCUUUCUCCGGGCCUUUCCCCGAGCGCCCUACUCCGCCCUACUUCCUCUCACAAUCUCACCUGCCGCUCCCGCUCACCCUGUGCCCCUGCUGUGACGAGCGCCUAGAUCUUUAGCGUCAGCGGCGGGGGAGGCCGGUCCGCUCAUCGGCUUGCCCUCCCGAGAGCUCGAGCGCCACCGGCUGGUCCUCUCUUUGACCACAACACAGAGACGCUGGUGCCCCCUCCUUCCUUCUCUCUCCACCCCCGCCGCUAAGAGUUCGAGCGCCGCUGGCAUGGUCCGCUCAUCGGUGUGGUCGCUGUGGAAUCAGCAGGGAGCAGCACGGCCCCACCUUCACCGGCGUGGGGGCGACCCUCAAAGAGGAGGCGACGGCGAUGGCAUCCAUGGCCGCCAGCGAGGGCACCUUUCUCCGUCUCAACAACCUCGACGCCAACGAUGACAAGGCUCCUUGUAGUCCAUAAAAUGAUUAUGGGUUAAAACAAGUAUUCUGAAGCGAUGUCUCUGCUGGAUACUUGUAGUCUCAGACGACCUCGAUCGAUGCCCUAAAAAUCCCCAAACCCGUUUAGUGCAAAUUUGCACUGUUGUUGUUUUCUUUAGUUUCUUUACUUGUCCGGCUGCUUGUGGGGCUAUCUGGUGAUUGGGCCCUGCUUGUCAGUUUCUAUACGCUAGGUUUCAUUUGUGUAUGCUGGGUUGUCGGUGGUGUCGGUUUGCUGGAGGCGUGUUACUGUUUACAGAACUAGCAUGGUGGCCCGCGCAAAAUGCACGGGCUAUGACUGAAAUUGUAACCUAUAUGCAUGAGCUAUUCCUAUUAUGGGCGUGGCUAUUUCACAGACAAUUGAUUUUUAGGAAAAAACUUAAUUUAAAUCCACAUUAGAGCCGGUUGGAUUAAAAAAUUUGAAUGUCAUCCCUCUCCCAUCUCCCACUUGUUGCCGUUAGAUUAAGAUCAAACGGUCAGCACGUCGAAUUAUCUCUAACUAAAAAUCAGUCGAUUGACUUCUCUAUAGCAAAACCGUUUUAUUACUUAAUUUGCUUCUAUAUAAUUGUAGCCUAUAUAUGUUAUAUUAUUAUAUUUUUGUAAGUAUCCUAUGCAUAGAGAAAAUCCUAAUAGAUGUAUGAUGAUUCCCGUUAUCCAUGGUAGUUUAAAAAAAAAUACUAAUCCAUAUAUGUUUAGAAGAAUGACAAUCAUGUUGCUUCAGUUAUUGUAUCAUCCAGUCAAUAAACGUUAGCUGGAUAUAGCGUUAGCUUAUUAGCCCAUUCCAUCAUUGACUAAAAAAGUAAGUUAUUGUUUUUCACCUUGUGGCCUUAUAUUUUUAAUAUUAACUUGUACCACUGAACUUUUUUUCCACCACUUAGAAGCAGAGCGGAUUUUUUGCACCUGGAUGCAAUCGUACCCAAAAUCUGAAUAAUCAGAUUCUGUCUUCGGAUUUGUACCGUUAUAUUUCCUUUGCAAAUAUAACACAUCUUCUAUACACUGCCAUAUACAUGAUGGUAGGCCCCACUCCCCACCUUCUGCCUUGUCCCUCCUCUCUCUCUUCGUCAAGUGUCGUUGCGCCACUCGCAUUUGCAUCCGGACCGUGCAUUCCCUACUUCCUCAGCGUCGGUGGCGGGGAUGGGACCAGGCAUAGACGCAAACUGCUCGUGCUCGCCAAUGGGCAGGGAGGCUCGUAUGGGAGGAACGACGUCGGAGGAACUUCUCGCGCUCGUUGGUCAUGGGCUCGCAAGCUUCCCGCUCGUUACCAACGGCUCGAUAGUCGUGCUACCCGUCCCCCUCCUAUCUCCCUUUCUCUCUACACGCUGCCGGUGAUCAGGAUGGCGCAUCGCUGAUCGGACCCAGGGCCACCCUUGAUAGACAGAAUCUGGACAUGCCACCCGCCGUCGCCGCGGGAUAUUUCUGUCCUGCAUCCCGUCCAACAGGCCGAUGCCACGGGCUAUGAGAGAGAGGGAGAGGAGGAGGGCAACACAGGGUGGGGAGAGAGACCAAGAGAGAGCCGCCCCACGUGCUACGAUUGCAUUAAAUACGAAUACUUUUUUUAUUCUUACAAAAUAUAUAUAGAUACAUGCUACUUCACUAUUUAAUAUUUUCAUGACAUGUGAAGAAAAAAAUGAAUUAUUAAAGUUGAAACGUCGUAACACAUAUUUCACGUAACAUAGUAUAUUACGGUUGGCAUCACAAAAACAAAAUAUUAACUUAAUUAUCAGUAAUUAUAACAUAUUGGGUCUAUAUAGGUCUUAAACCACUUUAAAAUUUUAUUUUAGCCCAUCAAAUAUAUUCCUACUACUUAAUAUUCUCAUGAUAUCAUGUGGUAGCAUAUAUAUCGUCUAACGCUAGACAAAUAAAUAUUUGACUUAGUUAGCAUAUUGGACAUACUACGAGCAGUGCUGCAUGAUUUAUAGGACUAAUACAUUUUGAAAUACAAACUAUGACCAAUCUCAAUGCCCAACACAUUGAGACGAUUUAGAGAUUUAGAGUGCGAAUGCACACCGUCGCAAGCGGCAUUUCCCAGGUAUCAUUUAUGUAAUCUAGUGUCCCUUUGUCUCUCCUUUUCUUUUCCCGCUCUCGCACAACUUCUCUUCUUUUCUCUCCAAAUCAUGUGUGGUAUAAAUCCAAAUCACGCCACCCUGGAGUAAAUAUCUAGUCAUCUCUCUCUCUCUCUCUAGGGAGUAGUAUAAUUUAGUAAUAAAUCCCCCACUUAUUAUGGAUCAGAGGGAGUAAUUAAUUUCAUGUAGUGAAACAUGAUCGAUGAAAUAGAACAGUUGAAAUCACCAUGGUUUCAACAGCGCCAAAAUCUCCAAAUGGCAUGAUAUAUUUAACGGACAUUUAAUUAUCCCAAAACUGGAUCACUCGACAAUAAUUGUGCAUGCAUGCCUAACACGAACAUAGCACAUCACGUACGUAUAGCAUAUCUAUGGCUCGGUGCUGCAGAAAAAACUUUAACGAAUCUUACUCGCAUGCAUGGUGGUGCACUCGCGCAUCGAUUUGACAAUGAAUACAUCCUAAUUAGUCCACGUCCUUGUUUAGACGUCAGACGUGCACGGCUUCGAUGCGGAACCAUGUGUCUCAUCAAAACGACGCGUACGGCCUUAGCGUGCGUCCUUGUUUAGACGUCAGACGUGCACGGCUUCGAUGCGGAACCAUGUGUCUCAUCAAAACGACGCGUACGGCCUUAGCGUGCGUCCUUGUUUAGACGUCAGACGUGCACGGCUUCGAUGCGGAACCAUGUGUCUCAUCAAAACGACGCGUACGACCUUAGCGUGCCGAGGCCCCGUGCACGCGAGAACGCACGAACGACCCGGCCACUCGUCCGCACGGCACCGGAAUUCCCAACCUAAUCGGUCCUCAGCUCGCAAGGAACGCACGUAACUAAAACAAAUUUCUACGACUCUUAGAUUCCAGAUCCAACGUCCAAAAUAAUUGAGGUGACGUGGAUCAACGAGGGUGUCAUCUCGAUGCCACUCUUUUUAGUAUAUAAUAGAAAUAGAUUGCUAGAGCACAAGCGCCUGCUUUUUUUCUCGGAAGCAGUCGAUGUGGAGAGCCGUCGAUCUGUUCUGCGGAGAUUCUUCUGUGUCCCUUUUGUUGCGUCGGACGAGCUCUGCUGGUGAGGCCAUGGCCUGUCUCUUCCAUUUCCAGCUUGUCCCGCACGGAGUAGCUCGGUGGAGAAAGGGGAAAGGAGAUUUCGCUGCUUGCUUCUCGCCAUUCUUCUUCCACCCUUCGUUUUCUCCAGCGAGAUUCCUCCCCCUCCCCACUUUUGCAGCUCUGUGCGUAUUUGGUUCUCCGGUCGGAUUAUCGCGCUCAGGUGAGUCCUUGUCUUCUUCCAUCAUCCAUGUCUGCCGUUCGCUUGAGAUUCUUAGCGUUCAGCUUUCUCGUAGUGUCCGUGUGCUCGUUGAUGCUGGCUAUGGUGCGGUUUUGAGCCCCUGGCGCGUUGAUUUGUUUGUUCUAUGGUGGGGAGCGGGAGCCCCGUGGUUGUUCGCAAUGUUCUGUGUUCUGUUGGUUGAGUGCUUGUUUUGGAUUAGAUUCACAAAUCGAGAAGCUAAGUGUGGAGUGUCGUUGUGCUGCUAUGUUUUGGCUGCUGUUAGGUAGCCUGAUAGGGAGGCUGCGAGAGGCUGGAACCCAGUUCAGUGAAGAAUUGAAGGCUGACUGAAACUCUGCGCGGCUGCAGUUUGUUCAAUGCUGAUGAAGAGACUGACGAUGUCUUUUUCCAGUUUGAUGGUGCUGUUUGCAAAAGGGAGGGAAUGUUGUGCCUGUCUGCUUUUGAUUCUGUUCUGAGCUCUCAGGAGUAGUAGAUUUUCUCUUUCUUAUUGCUGUUAAAAGUUUGGCUGAAACCUUUGCUCGGUUCAGCUGACAGGCUCGAGCCUGUGAAUUUGUAGACACUUUGGUUUCUCUAAUGGAAACCGGAGAGGGAAAACCUCUCUUUUUUUUAAAAAAAAAAGGUAGCCUGAUAGGAUUUGUGCUCUGGUUUUUGGUUAGCUGCAUCAAAUCUGGGGGCGAGGUGGCAGUGGUAUGCAUCUUCUAACACCUGGAGCUUUUUGCUUGUGUUGUAAUGGUAGAUGGGGCAGUAGCUUCUUCGGGUUAUGUCCAAAUAACAUUGGACUGGACUGAUAAGCUUUUUUCAAUCUCUUAGUGUUUCUCACUGCUAGUGCCCUUAUAUUAGAUGUUUUUUAGUUUUAGGUAUGGAGUAGUCCACAAUGUUAUUAGGCAUCCUUCUGGUGAGUUUUUUAAAUAAUGUAUCUUGGUUUGUUAUACUAGAUUGUGUCUAUUGCCUUCCCGAGUGAAUAAUCGAUUUUCUGUAUAAAUCAUGUCAAUUAGUUGUCCUCAAGCAGUCCUAUUUUUAGAUCUGUUGCCAGAUCCAUUUGUCCAUUAGAACAAACAGUUCAUAUAGCAAUAUCAAGGACAGCCAGCGCCUGAUAAUUCAUUGGAAUCGCAGUUCAUGUUUUUUUGGCAGUUGCACAACUUGUACUGUGCAUUUCAUUUUGUUUAUACAUUGCAAUCGAUUUUUUAUAUGAUUUGUUAAUUUAUGAUUAAGCGCAAUUGCACUGUGUUUUUACAGAAAUCGCAAUUCUUUCUGUCACAACUGGUGUGUGUGUGUGGGGGGGGUGCUGUUUAUAUGCCAUCAAUUUUUUAUAUGAUUUGUUAAUUUCUGAUUAAGCGCAAUUGCACUGUGUUUCUACAGUAAUUGCAAUUCUUUUCUGUCAUCUCAUUGAUGCGGUGCCAUACAGAAGUGCAAGUUUUCUUUUGUCUAAGUGCAAUUGCACUGCCUACUUUGAGUAAUAGCAUUUUUUUUUCUGACGCUACCGGGUUUGUCUAUAUGCCCUAACUUGGACAGUUUUUGUCAUCUCAUUGAUGCAGUGCCAUACAGUAGUGCAAGUUUUCUUUUGUCUAAGCGCAAUUGCACUGCCUACUUUGAGUAAUCGCAAUUCUUUCCGACGCAUUUAGGGUGUUUAAAUACGCUAACUUGAACAUUUUUGUCCUCUUAUUUGUGAUGCUAUGCCAAAACAAUAGUGCAAGUUUUCUUUUGUCUAAGCGCAAUUGCACUGCCUACAUUGAGUAAUUGCAAUUCUUUCUGACGCAACUAGGGUGUUUAAAUGCGCUAAUUUGAACAUUUUUGCCCUCUUAUUUUUUAUGCUAUGCCAAAAUAGUAGUGCAAGUUUUCUUUUGUCUAAGCGCAACUGCACUGCCUACUUUUAAUAAUCGCAAUUCUUUCUUACGCAACUGGGGUGUUUAAAUGCUCUAACUUGAACAUUUUUGUCCUCUUAUUUUUUGUGCUAUGCCAAAACAGUAGUGCAAGUUGUACACUUGCUAAGAAUUGCACUAUUCAUUCCCACGAAACAUGUUAUGCCCAAACAGUAGUGCAAGUUUGAAAAUAUUUUAUGUUUUAUGUUGGGUGUUUUAUAGCUUACCUUAUGUUGCUUGUAGGGGUUCUUAUAGAUUGACUUAGUGUUUGUAGCUUACCUUAGUUUUUUUUUGCCUGCUCUUGUCUUUACCCUUUGUAACAUGCUGUGGUAGUCAGACGGAGAGUAAUUAUAGUGAGUCUUCAGCUCCGGGAGUUUUUUUAUUCUGAAACUGAGCACUAUCAGGCUGCACAUUAUUUUCUCUUCCUGACUAAUGUAAGGGGCCAUGUUUUUGUUGCAUGUACUCUCAACCUGAGAUUUUUUGUUCUUUGUUCUAUGCUUCUAGGUGUUAUAUGUGCUCCAAACCUAACGUGUGUUUUUUUUUUGCUAGGGGUCAUUUUAUCUUGGAUUAAAGUAAGGGUGUUAAAGUACCAUGUAUGUAUUCUGGCUAAAAAGGCUUGUGUGACGUGUUUGAGUUAAUGCCCUUAAUCAUACAGAUUUUGUAUGCUCACCUACUCCUAUUCCAACUGCACCCAAAUACAGAUGGUUUCAGUUUGAAUUGCAUUUUUUUUGGAAAUAUGCAAUAGCAUCCGUAUUAGAUGUUUGAAUGUUUUUCACCCAUAAUUCACUACCCAUUAUUGGUUUGAAGUAGCAAGUAUGCUUUCUGGUCAUAUGUUUUUGUAUGGUUUUUGAUUAGUCCUGACCUUUAAUCUUUUUGAAGCCUCACCUACCAGUACUGACUAUGCAGUUGAAAAUAUUCUAUAUCACUUCAAUUUCAAAUUCAAAUGUCUUUGUUUUGUUCUUAAUCUUUUUAGUCUUUUUGAAGCUAUGUUCGGGCAUUUUCAGGCGAUUUUUUUAUGGGGGUUGCUGUUGUUUGUGAUAACAAAAACAUGUUACACCUAGAUGUUAAUCUGAUAUUUCUUGGCUUCCAUUAGUUUUGUGUUAUAUGGCUUAUACAAGAUGUGACUGUUUUUUGGGUAAUUACCAGGCGCCUGAUUCCCACAGAAACAACAGGUGACUGUUUUGAGAACACAUAACAGGCGCCUGGUUUACUUCCUCAAAACAGGCGACUGAUAUAUGUACUCAAAUCAGGCGCCUACCCAAUAGACAGUCCCGCUGUUUAAUGCUUUGGUUCUAUCUCUUCCUCUCUCUGCGCUCAUUUGUUCUCAUCCGGUUGGUUUCUCGUUGGUUGCUCCGCCUCUCGCUACUGUUGAUCGAGUUUCUGUUCGCCGGUGCUGUUGAUAGCUCUGGUUGCUUCUUCCGCUGCGAUGGCGGGUGUGGGAUGAGGAUUCAGAUUCAGAGGAUCGUGUGUUUCAUGAAGACUAGAUGGAAACGAUUGAAAGCGCUAUUGAUUCUGUGUAUUCAUUGGCAAUUGACCAUUUCAAGAAAUAUGAUGGCCGUGUUAUUCACGACGACAGUUUCAAUGACCUACUGCACACACGCAGAGAGCUGAAGGCAAGUCAGUUUUGGAGCGAUAUGCUGGAACAGUCCCGUGACUCACUGCGUACCUCACUAGACAAGCAAGUAGCAUCGCAAGAUUGAGUCAAAGCAGAUCUUGUAUCACUUUCUCGCGCUCAUGGAGAUAUUCUAUCUGUUAGAGUUCUCUGCCUGACAGUCCAACCGCUACGAUUCAGUAUACAGGAUCAUAGGUCCCUGCAUCUGGCCUGGAGAAACUCUCCUCGGAGUUGGUUGCCAUUGUCAAGAAGAUGUAUGUGGCCACAUAAAUAUUAUGUGACAUACUCUGAAAUCACCACUUCUUUAGAUUAUUUGCUUUUUGAUGAAAUGUCUGUGUACUGUCGGUUGCUCCAUGCCUUGAUGUAAAUAUGAUGUAACAUAUUCCUAGAUCACAGCUUCUUUAGACUUGUUUCGUUUGCCUGUCAUAUAUAUCUUCUGCCAAUAACCUGAUGCUGAGGAGCAGAAUCAGCAGCAGCAACAGAGGCAGAAGUCAGGAGCUAAUAAUCAGCACCAAGGAAACAGACACAAUAAAUAGAGGAUCAAUGAGGAGGAGCCUACUCAACCUAUGGAUCCUAAAUACAAAGAGUUGAUUUGCUUUAAUUGUGGAGGACCAGGACAUUAUGUGGGAAACUAUGUUAAACCAAAGCUCUGCUUUCUUUGUAGCAUACCUGGCCAUCAUAUGGACAAUUGCCUGGCUUGGGGGAGAGAAAUUCCUAUGGCACAUUUUGUUGAAAGUUCUAAUGGAGGGUUAGGAUUUUUUUCACAUCAAUGUAGAUGAUAAAGCUUCUACAAAAUGGCUAAAUAUGGGCAACUAUGGAGUCAAUAGCUGUCACUCAUGGGAACAUAUCUGUCAAGGACCUAGAGGAGUGUAUGGCAAUCACUUGGGAUGCCUCCUGGCCUUGGCACGUUAGACAAUUGGAGGAGAAAAGUUUUCUGGUAAGAUUCCCUCCUACCAAAAAGGUGACUGACCUGGUAGGACUGCCCUCAAUCAACUUAAGGGAGGGGGGGGGGGUGAGAAUGAAAGAGUUACUAUCAAAAUUCUGCCUUGGGAUGGAGAUCUCCCAGAACUGGGUGAACUAACAGAAAUCUGGCUACAGAUCAAUGGAAUCCCACCUAAAUGGUGCACCUGGAAAGUUAUUACACAAGUGUUUAAAUGUUUUGGUUUGCUUCUGGAUGUAGACUGGAAUGAAAUCUUCAAAUCUAUGUAUGCUACAGUUAGGGUUAAAUUGGCUGUGAGAAACCUUGCUAAAAUUCCACCUGCAAGAAUGGUUGUAAUGAAGAAGAAGUUCUAUCCGUUACAGUUUACUGUAGAAUGGGAAGGAGUGGACAUUGACAGAGUGAUGGGUCUGAAAGAUAAAGAUUAUAAUGGAGAUGAUGAUUAUGAAGAUGACAACAUUAUGGAUGAUGAAAUACAAGACUUGGAGAAAAAUAGAGACACUCUGAUGAAGAACCAUGAGAAAUCUGAUCCUAAGGGCACAAAAAUUGUUAACGGAGGUUCCAAAUCGGCACCUCCAAAAACCAAUUAUUGCCAGGUCACUCAACCACUCAUUAAUGCUAGCCUGGUUGAAUCAGAAGAUGAGGAAGAGAGUGGUGAUUGUAAUUUAGAUAAUCCUCAGCAUGAAUCAGAAGAUGAGGAAGAGAGUGGUGAUUGCAAUUUUUCAGCUGGAGUGUUGUUGAGUUAUCUAUAGAAAAUGUGUCAAAGUAAUAUGCUAUGGACUACGUGCCUGUAAACUAAUGUCAAGCAGGAAUUUUGAGAAACCAAAAUAUGGACAAACAAUGGCUUAAGAGACUUUGUACUGGCAACUGAAUAGCUACAUCAUAUAAUUCUAUAACAUUUCAAGGAAAGGACAUCAGUGUAUAUGGACCUGUCAAAACUUUAGAUUAGGAGUGUCUUUCCUUUCAGCAUCGUUCAGCGUGAAGGGAUGCCUUGCCUAUUUCGCCGGUGAUACUUGAUACUGUAGUUGACAUGUACUUUUUCUCUGACAUAAAGAUAAACAAAAAAGAGUAAAUUUCACAGGACCACACUUUUUGUGGGAGUGGUCUCACAAAACCACAGUUGUUGCUAACAGUCUCAUAAAACCACAACUCUUGGGACAGGGAGUCUCAGAAAACCCUAAUCUCAAUGAUUAAGCGGUUUGAUGGUGUUUCUGACGACUCGGGUCCACAAGUCAGUUGCCACGUCAGCCAUCCCGACCCGUCUCCAAUGCCACCUGAGCGCACAAGUCAAUUGCCACGUCAGCUUCUCCCCGACCCGUAUUCAAUGCCACAGCCCACAAGUAAGUUGCCGCGUCAGCCUCCUCGACCCGUCUCAUAAUGCCACGUUGUGGGCCCGGGUCGUCAGAAACACCAUCAAGCCGCUUAAUCAUCGAGAUUAGGGUUUUUUUAGACUCUGCACCAAGAAUUGUGAUUUUGUGAGACUGUUAGCAACAACUGUGGUUUUGUGAGACCACUGCCACAAAAUUAAUGACCUACAAGUGGUGAAAGCGAUUGUUUAGUUGUAAAGAUCCAAACUUUGUGGGAAAAGAAGAGAUUUCAUUUUUGCAGAAAAUCAAGCAUCAGAAAGCCUCAACCAAAAUCAGCACCAAAUUUGCGAUUGCGUAAGCAUAUAAGCGAGCAGAGAAAAUUGGCAAAGGAAAAAAAACAAGAACCACAGGAUUCUGACCCGAAUCAGGAAAGAAAAACACCACUUAGAUUCAACCCUGGGCAAGCUAGUGAGCGGCGCUAGGAGGAUAUGCGGCGCAGACGACCGACGGAGACGCCACGAGGCCAAGGGUGGCGGUGUUCGCGGUGGUGGCGAGGGAGGCAGAUCUUGACGGCAUCGGGAGAGAGUCGCGGAGCAGGAGGAGUCGGUGAUGGAGCGGCGGCACCGUCUGCUGGUCGCGCCUUCGACGUUACGAGGCGAAGGGCGAGGAGGCCAUGAAGCGGCGGCGGUUUCAUGGGAAGAUGGGUCGGGGAGAGGAGUUUUUGUGUACAAGGAGAGGAGUUUCUGUUCCAGUUUUUUCGUUCGUGGGCUCGUGGGGAGGGAGUCGGGACCUGGGAGAGCCAUCUCGGAGGCGGUGGCAUCGAUGUAAUUUGGAUGAAAAUGACGUACGAACGACGUACCAAACUCGAAAUUAAGUAGUAGUAAAGAAAUAUUGUGGAUCCUACCUUAAUGGGUCAAAACCUGACUUCCGUGUGGCCUAGCACAAUGACUAAUGUGGUUUGGUGGUCAACACAUAUGUAACAUUGAGGGGCGACUCUCCUCACCUCCAUAUUUUAGAUUUUUUUUAAGAAAAAUGUUGAUCGGGCUGUACUGGGCUAGUCCAGCCCGUGGACCUCGGUAUGAAGCUCCGGCGAAAAAAAAAGAAAACUACCUUUCUUCGGGCCAGGUGCAAACGGGCCAAGCCUGCUGGGCUUUUUGGUAUUUUCAAAAAAGAACGGCCCGAUGGCCGGCCAUUUGUACCGCGUCACUCGGGCUCCUCCCAAUCCCAAUCUCACUUGGGCCCCGUCGUUUCCUUAGACGUUCGGGAUCGUUAGGUUUUGUCAGUUGCCGUCUCUUCUGAUACUAAAAAAAAAGUUGCCGUCUCUUCUUGCGCCGCCGUUUUAGGGUCAGUUUAGUUUGGUUGCAAGAACCAGGUGGAAUGUAAUGAAACCGUGCUAUUUUUGGAGACCGUUCUCGCGUUUGGUCAAAGUAACGAACAAGAAUGGGAUGGAACAAACCGGUCCCACUAAAAGGAAUAUUCUCCGUAUACGCGGAACCGCUCGGUAAGUCGAAACGGCAGGUAUCGAUUCGUUCCUCCUCUCGCUCGCGCAGUCCCGUGACUCUCCUUCUCGUCUCCCCUCCUCACCUCACCUCCUCUCCCGAAACUCCCUCCCUCCCACGAAGCCAUGGCGUGCACCUCCAGAUCCGCGCGUUGCCCCACCGCGUGAACCCCAUCUCGGCCAGAUCCAGGGCGAGGCCGGAGGCGGACGGGCGAGGGGCGAGGCCUCGACCCCCAAAUCGCAGUGCUGCCUUUCCCCUUCCUCAACCAACCAUGGCCCCGUCGUGGGUUUUGCUCCCCCCGGAACUUCCGUUCACCCACGACGCGGGGCUAUUCAGCGAGGCCAGCCAACAGUCAAAGGGCUGGAUGAGCGAAGGAAGACCACCACGUCCUGAAGAGACGCGAGGAGCGAUCACCGCAUACCUAGAAAGCUUGAAACCCGAUGCGCAUUUCGCGGAUCCACCGGAGAUAUCCUACAUCCGUCUACUCCGGCCGACGGAAUCCGUCCCACCCCUGUGCGGGGUCGUUGACUCAGCCUGGAUCUCGAGCAUAGACAAGCAUCUGUUUGCCCUGUAUGCCGGUCAAUACCGGCCUGGCAGUGACAUCUGUGCUAGAAAUGGAGGUUAUCUGAUCUACGACGCCAGGAAGAACUCUCUCUCGCCGAUUCCAGAAAUCCCAUACCACAUGUCCCAGUCCGCCAUCGGGUACGAAACGGCGGUUGUUGUGUCCUUCGAUGGCGAUGGCGCAGGUGAGGGAGCCGGCUAUGUUCUUGCCGAACUGACGAAAAAAGAAAGGCUCAAGGAAGGCUCCGAAGCCGAACUCUUCUUGUGGCAGUCGUCUAGUCCAGGUUGGGUUAGUAAAAUUGCUGUGCUGCCGCCCGAGGUUUGUUCGCCCACCACUGAUUUCUGCGCCGACAAGUGCUUCUCAUUUGGGGGCUUUCUCUGCUGGGUAGAUCUCUCCAAAGGCAUGCUGGUCUGUGAGUUGUGUAACUUGCAAGAAGACAACGAUUUGAAGUUCCGUUAUAUUGCAUUGCCUGAUAAUUGCCCCACUUAUGAUCUCUUCAGCCCUGAGAAUCAAACGCUGCAGGUGCAAGAAUUUCGUUCCAUUGGGUGUGUUGGCGGCCAGAUCAAGUUUGUUAGCGUGGAUGAUCAAGUUGGGCACCUGCCUGGGCACAAAUUAGAGAUGAAUACAUGGACUCUUUCUUCUGACCUUACAGAGUGGAAGGAUGGCAAGAUGUACAAUCUUGGAAAGAUCUGGGAGAAUGGGACUCAUUUGUUACAUGGCAUGCGGAAGCUAGCGCCUUCUCUUCCUUUCCUUAGCAAGCAUGAAGACAACGUUGUUUAUGUAGUCUUUAAUGAUAUGAGGGUGGUGGGCAGUCAUUUGGAGUGCAAAGGGCAGUACUUAGUCCGUAUCGAUAUGAAGAAUGAUGAUGUGAAGUUCUAUCGGCAAACUACAUACCGGAUUCUGUCACAGCUCUUCACCUGUGAGAUCGGUGCAGACCAACAGGGCUUAUUGGAAGACCAACAGGUACAAACUGGAUUUGGUUCGUGCUUUGAAGGACGCUAGUAGACUGCCGUUGAAUAAAUCUGACCGAAUAUUGUUGCAAUGUACUGAUGCCAAAGCGCUAAUGCGGAACCUCGCUGACAGAUCAGCGCAGGUCAUGAAUCUCAAGAGCCACUCGCGAAACCUGCUUGUGUUUAUUUGAGGUGAUGUCUUUGGUGGUUCAGUUACUGGAAUAAUGCUUAUCUUGCAGCCGAUCGGGUGAGGCUAGACUGUGUGUGGGUGCUAGGUGUCAGUAUCUUCUUCUGCUCGAGUUUUUCUGGUUUGCUGUUUGUGUGCAACCUUAAUAAGACCUCACUGUACAUGUGCUUACCUGAAGACCCAGUCCUCUUAAAACUUGUGUAUGAUUUGAAGUUCAUGAGUUGCACGAGCACAAACAGUCGCGUUGACUAGUUUUAAUGUCUACAGUUGUUGUUUUUUUUGACGGAAAUGCUUACAAUUGUUUCAUCCAAC
rnacentral:lncRNA from 1 species